rnacentral:lncRNA from 1 species
UCUUUAUAAAUAUGUCUUAAACACCUAAUAAUAAUUGAACACAAUUACCUGUAAACGAAGAGGAUAAGAAAAAAGAGUUUGUAAGAAGAAGAAGACGAAGGGACCGGAGAUAUGGCGUCGAUAAUCCCUCUUGUUGUUGUAGCAUUGGUCUUUGUUACUAUAUCCAUUUUAGCUUUCACUAAGUGUUGCACUUGCCCACCCAAAAGAUGAGCAUGAGUGAGGGAGACAGGAUGGCUUGCAACCAAGGUUGCACCAAGGUUGUUAUAGGUCCAUCUCAAUUUUAAAACACACACCAUUUUAAUUUAGGUUCGCACAAUUCUACAAAGCAUGGCAUCAUUAUCUCGCAAGUUCGAUCUAUAUAGAUAUAAAUUUGUUAUAAUAAAAUGAUUUUGGAUUUAUUUUAAAACUUUGAAUCUAUUAUCUUACGCCUGUCUAUAUGGCUAUGAAUUUUAAUUAUAUUAUAUUAUUUUGGUACACAUCUAAAUUAUGUAUUUUGUAGACGAUGAGAUUAUUAGUAAUUAAUCAAUGAUAAAAUUGACAUCUUUUUUGUUUGUUUGCCAAAGAUACAUUUUUUCAGAUAUAUCAUAAUCACAUAAUAUAUCAAGAGUUAUAUCGUAGUGAAAAUUUAAUAAAAAUAUGUAGUUUCGAUUAAAUUAGCUGUCCCUGUUUAACGAUCAAAGUAAAUUUCGUAAAACCUGGAUGGAGAUCGAUCAGAGUUUGAUCUCAAAUCUAGAGACUCGCACAACGCUAUACCGUCGUAGUUGCUUGACAACAGAGGAUGAAAAAGGAUGACAACAGCUUUUCUUAUAAUAUUUUGAGAAGAGACUUAUAUUUUUAAUGAUCUUUUCAAAUACUACCUCAGAAAGUCUUCUAACGUGCUUAGGAGUGAGAUUCCCCCCGGACGGGCCGGGUACGGGGAUGAUUUUCAUAUCCGAAGCUGAAAAAUCCCCGUCCCCCGCCGAAAUUGCAUAUAGAUCCCCAGAUAAUCCCUGUACCAGGAGAAAAUUGCAUAUAGACUCUAUAAAAAAAAUUAUAUUGUAUAAUUUAUAUAAAUAACCUUAUACAAUAUAUUAAAUAGAUAAAUUUAUAUUUAAAAUUGUAAAAUUAAAUCAAUAUUCUAAAUUCCUAAUUAAAAACUUAAAAGAUAAACCUAAUCAAAUUAAUCUCGUUCUUAUUCUUGUAAUCUUGUUACACCACCGUGCGCCGACAUCUUGUUCCACCGUUGUCCUAAGGUAAGCUGUCGCAUGUCAGAAUUUUUUUAAAAUGAAAUAACUAAGGUAUUACUAUAUUAACCGUUUGUUUAAAUGAAAUAACUAAGGUAAGACAAAAGACAUUCUUGUUCCACCGUACUUUAUUCUUAAUUUCUUAUGAUCUUUUUUAUUAAAUAUUAAUUAAUAAAAAGAUGGACGAUUAAUAUUUCUUACUAUCUUACUUAGGGGUGAGAUUAAAAAAAUAAAGUUUAAAUUACUGUUUCAAAAUAAAGUAAAAAAAAAAAAAUUCGACAGGACAUCCCCGUCCCCGUACCCGAUCAUUUGAUUUUUGGGACCGGGGAUUUCCCCGUCCCCGAUCAAAAUGAUCGAGUACGGGGACGGAAAACGCGAUCCCCGUCCCAUCCCCGUUCCCGCUCACCCCUAAACGUGUUGUCUGUAUUUUUUAUUUCUUUUUGUUCAUAUGUGUCACGGCAAAUAACAAAUAGCAUUUCGUAGUAGCACUUAAGGAAGAGACUUAUAUUUUAGAACCUGGAUGGAGAUUGGAGUUUCAUCUCAAAUCUAGAGACUCGCGCAACGCUACACCGACGUAGAUGCUUGACAACAGAGGAUGACAACAGCUUUUCUUAUAACAUUUCAAGAAGAGACUUAUAUUUUUAAUGUCCUUUUUAAGUACUACCUCAGAAAGUCUUCUGACGUGCUGCCUGUAUUUUUUUUCUUUUUUUGUUCAUAUAUGUCACUGCAGGGGAUCAUCCUGGAGCUCAGCUGGUUCAAGAAAAACUCACUGGAGAAAAAAAUUACGUAUCUUGGGCAAAUUCAAUGAAACUCUCACUCGUCUCGAGAAAGAAGACAAGUUUCAUUGAUGGAAAAAUCAAGAAGCUUAUAGAAGAAACAGGGGAGGAUUAUGAGGAUUGGGUGAUGCUCAACGGAUUAGUGUUAUCCUGGAUAAUAAACAAUGUGAGCCCCCAAAUUGCCUCAACACUCAUCCACACAGAGACAACCUAUGGUGCUUGGGUAGAUCUCCAAGAAAGGUACAAACAAAAGAAUGCACCAAAAACGAGCCAACUAAGGUAUGAAAUAAAUACCUAAAUCAAUCACAUGAAUCUGUCUCAGUUUUUUUGAUAAAUUUAAAACACUAUGGGAUCAAUUUGUUGAGAUAGAAAAACCCGAAUGCAAAUUCUGUGAAAUAUGUGCUCCAAUUUACAAUAAAAAAUUAGAGAAAGAUAGAUUGAAUUCAUCAAUUCUUAUUAGGAUUGAAUGAUAAAUUCAUGACUUUUAGGAGUCAAAUACUAGCAUACACUGAGCUUCCAUCAAUGAAUCAAGUGUUUUGCCUAGUAAUUCAAGAGGGAAAACAUAAAAAUAAUUUUAAGGAUAAAAUAGGUGGAGAAGCUACUGUCCUAUUUUCUAAGAAAAUUGAAAAUCAAGAAAAGAAAGAAGAACCAAGAAAAAAGGGUAUGUAUGGUAAGAAUGGAAAAAAACUAUACACUAGAUACUACUGUGAUAACUAUAAAUUUUUUGGACACACAAGGGAACAAUGUUUUCACAUAGUAGGAUUUCCAAGUGAUAAGAAAAAAUUUAAAAAGAAAGAAGAUUCCAAGAAAGCCAUCACAGAUAGUGCAAACCAAGCAUCUACUUCCACAACUACAUAAAAUCUGAUCAGUGAGGAGUUGCUAAUGCUCAAGGAUUUUUUGAACAAAUCCUCUAGUAUGAAUUAUUCUUUUAAUUUCAUUUGUCAAAUUAUAAAAAUGUUUGGAUAAUAGACACUGGAACAUCCCAACAUAUGACCGGAAAUCUCCAACUGUUUGAUAAAACUCCUAAAGGAGACUUUGAGCAUUUUGUCACCAUAUCAAGUGGUGAAGUAUGCAAAGUAACCUCAAAAAGAGAUAUCACAAUUUAGGGUUAGAAAUUGUGCUUAGAAAUGUUUUAUAUAUCCCAUAAUUCAAGGUUAAUUUAUACUCAAAGAUUCAAACUUGAGUAUCAUUUUCAAUAAAAUUAAAUGUGAUUUUCAGGAAAACAAAUCAGGAAGAGUGAUUGGGCAGGGUAGAUCCCAAAAUGGACUAUAUUUCCUAAAGACUCUUUCAGAUGUUCUUCCUAAUUUUGCAUACACCUCUAUGGAUUUUCAGACAUGGCAUAAAAGAUUGGGGCAUAUCUCAACAGAAAAGAUGAAGCUCCUCAUUAGAAAUAAAAAAAUAAAAUGUAGAAUUUCAAAUUCAGAUCAUAAUUGUAAUAAAAUAGAUGAUGUAAAUUUUUCUUUCAAAAAUAAACAAUUUUUUCCAGAUAUGAAUAAAAAUCUUACUUCAAUAAAAGAAGAAUGUGAUGUUUGUCCUUUAGCAAAACAAAGUAAACUAAAAUAUACAAAAAAACAUAUCAAAAUCAAAAAAUCUCUUUGAUCUAAUUCAUGUAGAUGUUUGGGCAAAAUUCCCAAUAAUAACACAUGAUGGAUUUUCAUAUUUUUUAACUAUAGUUGAAGAUCUAAGUAGAACAACUUGGAUCUUUUUAUUAAAAACCAAAAACAUGGUUUUAGAUUGUAUUAGAAAUUUCAUAUUCAAAGUUAAAAAAAAUUUAACAAAAAUAUAAAAAUAAUAAGAAAUGAUAAUGGAGGUGAAUUCACCUCAAAUCAUUUCAAACAAUUAUUAGAAAAAUAGGAAAUAAUACAUCAGUAUUCAUGCCCAUAUACACCACAGCAAAAUGCAUAGUAGAAAGAAAACAUAGGCAUCUAUUAUAUGUUGCUAGGGCACUACACUUUCAAGGUUCAAUUCCUUUUAAAUAUUGGGAAGAAUGCAUUUUAGCAGCCUCUUAUAUAAUAAAUAGAACACCUUCAAAGGCUCUAAAAAACAAAACCUCUUAUGAAAUACUACAUAAACAAGCAUCCAAUUAUGAUUUUCUAAAAACUUUUGCUAUGUAACCAUAGACAAUAGAAAACACAAGUUCUCACCUAAAACUUUUAGAGGAAUUUUUAUGGGAUAUCCAGCAAAUACUAAAGGAUAUCUAAUACUAGAUAUAGAAAAUAAAAAUUUCAUAUAUCUAGAAAUGUGGUUUUUAGAGAGAAUAUUUCCCAUUCAAGGAAAUGGUUGAAGAUGAGAAUAAUUGGAAAAUAAAUAAAAAACCUCUACAAAACUUCUAUCAAAUCAUUCACUUUGAUGAAUAUAAAGAUAGAAACAAAACAAAAACACAAUCAGGAAGGAAUAAAAAUUCCAGCAAUAGCAAAAUUAUGAAACAGACCAGCACAAGGUCUGAAAUAAAUAAAAACUCAGAAACCAGCACAAGGUCUGGAAUAAAUAAAAACCCAGAAAUUUCUGAGACAAUUAAAACAGGGACUUAUAAAAAAUCAUUAGAUAUAACUGAAUAUAAUCAGGCUAAUGAUAAUCUAAAUUCAUACCAAAAUAUAAAUUUUUUUAAAGAAAGAUCUUCAGAGAUAGAAGUCUUAAAUCAAUCAAAUAAGAAUUUAAAUUCUGAGUUUAACAAUAGAUGUUUUGGAAAUAAAAGAACAUGCAUCAGCAAAAGGAAAACAUAUUGAAAGAACAAACCAAAAUUUAAACCUUGGACAUAAUAGCCAAAACAGUCAGAGGACUGGUCCAGGGGAUACCUCAGAACAAGACCAAGAAAGGUCUGGUUCACAGAAUGAGAUGAUUCAGAAAAUAAUUCAGAAACAGCAAGUAAUCUGGAAAACUUGCAUAAGAAAAGAAUAUAUCAUUCACAAAACACUCUAGAUACCUCAGAACAAGACCAAGAAAGGUCUAGUUCACAAAAUGAACUGAAUUAUGAAAAUGAUUCUGAAAUAACAGGCCAAGUAGAAAACCUGCAUAAAUUAAAACAAUCCCAAAAUACUCUGAAUUCUGAAAAUAUUUCAGAAACAGGAGGCAACAUAGAGAAUUGGCAUAAAAAGAGAGUAAAUCACUCACAAAAUACAAUAAACUCUGAAAAUAUUUCAGAGACAGAAGGAAACAUAGAAGAUAUACAUAGAGAUAGAUCAAAUCAAUCUCAAAAUGCACUGAAUUUUGAAAACAAUUCAGAGACAGCAUGUAACAUAGAAAACAUGCAGAGAAAUAGACAAAAUCAAUCAUAAAAUACCGAAACUAAUUCAGAAAUACAUGAAUGUGGAAACAAUCCAGCACUAGCAAAUCACAGAUUAAACCAGUUACAAAAUUCUGAAAAAAAUUCAGAAUUUAAAAACAACAAAACAAGCCUAUAUGGUAGGAAAAUAAACCAACCAAAAUACCUUCAAGAUUUUAUUUUACAAAAUCAAAAGGAAUAUCAUGAAUCAAAAUACCCGAUGAGCAAUUAUGUCUCAUAUAAAAAAAAAAUCAUAACAAUAUUUAAAACAAAUAACACUAAAUGAUGAACCAUGUUCAUAUAAUGAAGCUUCAAAGGAUCUAAAGUGGAUUGAAGCAAUGGAAAAUGAAAUGAAGGCAUUAAAAGAGAACAAUACAUGGAAUCUUACAAACCUUCUUAAAAACAGAAAAUCCAUUGGCUCAAAAUGGAUUUACAAAAUUAAAUACAAACCAGAUGGCCAAGUUGAGAGAUAUAAAGCAAGACUUGUAGCCAAAGGUUUCACACAAAAUGAAGGUUUCGAUUUUUUUGAAACCUUUGCACCAGUAGUCAAAAUGGUGACCAUUAAAACUAUAAUAGCAUAUGCUUCUAUCAAAGGAUGGAACUUAUACCAAUUAGAUGUAAAUAAUGCAUUCUUGCAUGGUGAUUUACAUGAAGAGAUGUAUUUAAAACCUCCACAAGAUUUACUUGAAGGAGAAGAUAAAAGAGUAUGCAAAUUAAAUAAAUCUUUAUAUGACUUAGGUUUAAGGUUAGGGUGAAUACUAGAAGAGUCUGGCCUCUCUGGUGCAAAACCAUCCAAAAUCCCAAUGGAAAGGUUUAUAGACCUAAAAAAUGAUAAAUCUAAACCAAUUCAAAACCCAACCUUCUAUAGGAAGAUGGUUAAGUGGAAAACUGAUAUAUCUAAAUAUAACAAGGCCAAACCUAAGUUUUUCAGUAAACUGGUUAAGCUAGUUUAUGCAUGGACAAAAAGAAAUUCAUCUUAGAGUUUUAUUCAAACUAAUAAGGUAUAUAAAGAAUGCCUCAGGGCAAGGAUUGCUAUAUAAUAGAAAUGGAAACAUGAUGAUUAGAGGGGUUAUUGUGAUGUUGAUUGAGCAGCUUGCCAAAUUAGCAGAAAAUCCUUAACAAGGUUUUGUGUCAUGCUAGGAGAUUCAUUAAUCUUUUGAAAAACCAAGAAACAAAUCAUAAUAGCUAGAUCAUUAUGUGAGACAGAAUAUAGAGCUAUAGCUCAAAUAACUUGUGAAAUUGUAUGGAUCCAUCAAUUAAUGGACGAACUCAAAAUCAAAAUUGCAAAACCCACAGAUCUAUACUGUGAUAAUAAAUCAGCAAUUCCUUUAGCAAAUAAUCCAGUCUUCCAUGAGAGGACAAAACACAUAAAAGUAGAUUGUCAUUUCAUAAAAGAAAUGAUAAAUCAAAAGAAAAUAUCAUUAAGUUCCAACACAAAAGCACUUGGGGAAAAGGAAAUUACAUCAUUCUACUUCAAGCUUGGAAUAUUAAAUAUAUAUUCCAAGAUUUGAAAGGGAAGUAAAGGAAUUAGAGUGCAAUUACAGUGUUAAUACACUGUAAAAAAACUCUGGAAAUACAGUUUAAAUCUGUAAUUAUGUAACAGGACCUAUAUGUCAUUAUCCGUGAAGUUUUAUUAAGCAGAUAAAUGUCUCAAGACACACGCACCAUAUCAAGAAAGCUUGGAGAGCAAGCUGCAAAAGUUUCAAUAAAGAAACUAAUGGGUCAUCUAUACGUGGACUCAAAUCAAAAAAGAUAAUUUGUAUAAAUAAUAUAGUAUUACGAUAAUAUUAGUUAUACAAAUUCUGUUAUAGUUAAUGAGUCUAUGUAUUAUAAAUAAAACCCUUGUAAACAUUAAUAUCAUUCAAUUGAAUUACAUUGAAGUUAAUCCUGCUUAACUUCUAAUCAUUCCACCUAAGCAGGCAGUUGGUACUCAACAGUUAAGUUGAAAAUACCUAGCUUCUGCUUUCUUCCGCUCACGUCGACCUCCUUGACAUUCCGACGAACGAUUGAACCCAAUACGUUGCUAACGACGACGGCAUCGGAAAUAAUAACGACAGACAACAAAUAGCAUUUCAUAGCACUUAAAAAAAAAAAGAGUGGUAUGUUAAUUUUUACACAAACCAAUAAAUUAAAUUAGGUAAAAAUUAAAAUAUUUAUUAUUUUUUAAAAUACGAAAUUUAGACCAUUAACCCAGGAAAUUAGAAAAGACCUAAAAUCUGAGCAAGUUUAGAAAAGAUGACUUAUUUUUGGAUUUUUUUCAAUUUUCCCUAAAAUUCGAGUUUUCAUUCACAAUAAUUUAAUAUCCGAACUUAACUGGAAAAUGAUUUUUAUAUCGUCGAAGUCCAGACCCAACGCCCUCCAUUCUCCGUUUCCCUAAUUUGUUAAUCUUUCGGUCAUUCCUGGUUUCCUCCCUUUUUUCUGCUCAAAAUUAGCCGUCGGCGAUAUUAUUCACUCGGUUUUUGAUGGAUCUCCUUAAACGCGAACUCGAAAGAAAACGUCAAACGCUGCAGUCCGAUUUUGGCGGAAAAAAACUCAUGAAACGUUCCGAAAUCGAACAGAAAAGACUCCAGAAGCUUCGCGAAGAAGAAAAGGUCGAACUCCAAUCUAAAUCUAAAUCAUCUAGAACUAUUUCAUCUUCUUCCACAUCCUCUACGGUAUCCGCCACAACAAACAUUACCAACAAUACAAAUUCUAAAUCCACCGACGUCGACGCUAAGAAAACCCCGCCACCGCCUGCUGCGGAAACCCUAAUAGAUGAUCUUGUACUUCCGCGUCUGGAAGUCAUUCGGCGUCUUCGGUUCCUGAAGCAGCCGAUCACGCUCUUUGGGGAGGAUGACGAUUCGCGUCUCGGCCGUCUCAAAACGACUAUGAAAUCCGGUGUCCUCGAGAUCGAUAGCGACAUGCUGGAGGGGCAAACCAAUGACUUCCUCCGGGACAUAUACGAGCUCCAGAAGAGACAGAAGAUUGGAUCAGGUUCGGGAUCUUUUUUGAAAAGGAAGAGAGAUAAUGGUGGGGAGAGGAUAGGAGGGGAGGAUAGGGACGGUGGUGGGAGAGAUGAGGGUGGAGAUGAGGGAGGUGACGACAAUGGAGAUGAAGGGAUGGAUGGUGAUGAUGGUAACGAUGCGAAGAGGAUGUCCAUGGACUUCCAUGAGUUGUGCGAUGAGGAUAAGAUUCUGGUUUUCUUUAAACGAUUGCUGAAUGAGUGGAAUCAGGAGCUGCGGGAUAGGUCCGAGGGAGAGAAGAGGACGGCCAAGGGGAAGAGUAUGUUUGCCACUUUUAAGCAGUGUGCUCGUUACCUCAUUCCUUUAUUCAAGUUCUGCAGAAAGAAGGUAACUUCAUUUUCUACUUCAUUAAACUGAACUGUGCCCACUUAAAUCGAUAUUUCUCCAUAACUACCAAGGUUUUAAACGUCCUGGUGCAUGGGGCGCUAAGCCGCCAACAAUCUGUGCACUUGAGUACUUAGGCAUAUGCGACCAGGCGCAAUCCCCCCAUCGCAUAUUUGGGGGGUCACAUAUUUAUAGGGCUUGACCGGAUCCGGCUUAACCCGACCCAUUUGCCCAAGUAAAAAUUAAAAAAUUAAAAAAUUAAAAUGAUUAAAUGAAUAAUAUUAUUUUAUAACAACUUAAGGACCCAUUUUAUAAUAUUAUUAUUCAAACAACUUAAAUGAAUAAUAUUAAUUGACGACACACUUAGUUAGAAGUUAGAACUUAGAACUAAGUGUUUGAAUUACACUUUUACUUUGAUGUUUGAAACUAAUACUUUUGUUGUUUUGAAUGUUUCUUUAAGUUUUUCAGAUUUUAAGAGUUUAAGUAUCAUUAAUCACUGUAUUAUAUUAAUUAUGAUUUUUAUUAUGACUUAUAAUAUCAGAGAUUUAUUUAAAAUAUAGAAAAUACAGGGGGUAUAUUAAAAAAAAAUUAAAAAUAAAUAAAAAAAAAUUAAAAAUAAAUAAAAAAUAAAUGUCGCAUAUUGGGUAGCAUAUGCGACCAAGCGCUCGCAUAUAGGCAUCGCCUGGUCGCCUGAAAAAGCUUGGCUUAGGCACGCUGAGAAAGAUGUGCCUGAUGCAUCUCCUCCCAAAAACACAUUGGGCGCACUUAUUGAAUUGAUUUGUGCCCAAUUUAAUUGUUUUUCCAAUUAAGUCUCCGUUUUAUAAUCUACAUCAAAAUCUGAAACUUUUUAUUUAAUUAUUGCAUUUAAAAUAUCCAGACAUUGUACAUGACUUAGGCUUAUGUUUUAUUAGUGUUAGCAUGAUUAGCUAAGAUAGUAAUUAUGUCAGUUAACGUAUGAUUAUAUAUAUUAUAUCUCUCUGUAACUACCAAAGUUUUUAACGCACUGGUGCAUGGGCCGCUAAGCAGCUAACAACCUGUGCAUUUGAUUGCUUAGAGAGAUUUGUCUAAUGCAUCUUCUCCCAAAAAUACAUUAGGCACACUUAUUGAAUUGAUUUGUGCCCAAUUUAAUUGUUUUUCCAAUUAAGUCUCUGUUUUAUUACUACAUCAGAAUCUGAAACUUUUUAUUUUGCUGCAUUAAGAAUAUCCAUGCAUUGUACAUGACUAAGGCUUAUGCUUGGUUAGUGUUAACAUAAUUACCUUAGAUAGUAAUCAUGUUAGUUAGCGUAUGAUUAUAUAAGUUAUAGUUUGCUACUUUGUAAGCCUGUAUAUUGGUCGGAUUCGGCUCGGAUACCCAGGUCCGAAUCCGACUGAAUAAAAUCCAGAUAGGAAAAUCCGAAUUCGAAUCCGGUUAAAUUUUCGGAUAUCCGAAUAAUCCGAAUCCGGAUAACUUUUUAUAAAAAAUAAAAAUAAAAAUAUGAAAUUACCCUUAAUAAAGAUUAUUAAUAGUCAAUUAAUCACCCUAAAAUCCAGAUAUCCGGAAGUCAAUUUAUAUUUAUUAGGAUAUUUGGAUAUCCGAAUCUGGAAUUCUUAAGCAAAUUCGGAUUUUACCGGUGGAUUUUUCGGAUAUCCGAAUCCGUCCCGAUAAAAUCCAGAUAUCAAUUUAGGUAUCCUAACCCUAAUCCGUAUCCGGAAAUCCGAAUCAGGAUAGUCAUAUUUGAAUUCGAAUGCGGAUAGGAAUACGGAUUUCGAUAUAAGCCUAUUACUUUGCUUAUAUAUGAUCUCUAAAGUUGGAUGCAAUCAUGGAUAUACCCAUUAAGGGAAGGUGUUUGAUCAUAAAUUCCACCAAGUCUGUUACCGAGCAUAAGCUUGAUACUUAUUAUUUAUCACGCACCAAACUCUUACUAGCUUAUUUCAACUCAUCGGACAAGUUUAAUACUUUAGUCAUCAUUAUGAUAGUUGGUAGACACCAGCCAAUUUUUAUAUUUGAUUAAAUUUUAUUUAUACAGAUUCUUCCUGAUGACAUUCGUAAAGCAUUACUUGUAGUAGUGAAAUGCUGCAUGAAGCGUGACUAUUUGGCUGCCAUGGAUCAGUAUAUUAAGAUGGCCAUUGGGAAUGCUCCAUGGCCUAUUGGUGUUACCAUGGUUGGCAUUCACGAGCGUUCGGCUCGUGAGAAGAUCUAUACCAACAGUGUGGCGCAUAUCAUGAAUGACGAGACUACUCGGAAAUACCUGCAAUCCAUUAAGAGAUUAAUGACAUUGUGCCAGCGGAGGUACCCAGCAGAUCCAUCAAAGUCAGUUGAGUUCAACAGUUUAGCAAAUGGAAGUGACCUUCGUUCGCUUCUAGUGGAGGAAGUUUCCGCUGGUAAACCAGUUUCAGAAGAAAGACUUCGGCUUAUUGCUCCCCCAAAAGAGGAUUAGUUAAUAGUGAUGGUUUGGAAAUAUCAAAAACAUGAAAUGAAUGAGACUAAUGUACGUUUAUUUAUUUGAUAUUGUUUUUUUGAAUUACACUAAUUUACGAAAGAGAACUCUGGAAAUAUGUGUUUCCAUGGUUGCAGGUGGGCAGUGAGCAACGUAAUAGAAGGUCUUGGUAACAGUGAGAAAGGUGUUUUUAGAGUUGCGAUGGAAUACACUGCCAUUUUUAAGAACGCAAUACAUAAUCUCUCUCAUUUGGGAUUCCACCAAUUCCCUUUGAUUUUGAUUGAUAUUUUGAUCUGAAGCACGUUGCUUGCGAAGAAGGCUACAUGCAGAUGAGGUUAGAUCAGCGAGCCUUUCAUCAUUAUUAGACAAGGUCCGGCCAGCACAUGACUCUAAAGUUCGAACCAUAAGAAGAGCACCUCCGUCGUGAUCUUUGUUUGGUAAUGUCAUCACCCAAUCCACCCACUGCAAUAAUAAAAAAAAAUCUCAACUCUUGAGGUGAAUAUUCAUUCGGUAUUGAUCAAUGGCUACAUUUGAUUAUAAUUCUGCACUUACUGCUUGUCUUAGCUGUUUUUGAAUAUCUAUGUUGUGAGGCUCAAUUAAAUUGAUAGUGUGGUGAAUUGCUCUUGCAAAUAUAUUGUUGUCGCUCUUGUUGUUCCAUCCCGAUCUUAUUUUGUGAAGGUUUUGAAGUUGUUCGACGAAGAGUUGUUUUGCCUCAUUUGAAAAUCGGUUGUCGUUGUUUAAAUUUGAGAUCACGACAAGUUGCUCCACAAGAACCAUUGUCCUAGUCCAAGCAAGGCGCUCCAAUGAUCUCUCUGGUUCGAAUAUGUUCGAUGUUGCCAAGAAAUAAGCGCGUAGCAACUGCUCUUCCGUGACCCCAAUAGCUUUAAGCCCAGUUUGAUCCAACCAGGUUGGAAGCGCAAGCCAUUCUUUCCUGUGGAGGGCUUGGCAGCGGUUGAAGUCGGAUUUUGAGGCUUGGAGAUAAACAUCAUUGUUAACGUACAUCAUUCUGGAAUCCAACAAUAUAUAAGGCGGGAAAUAGGAGCCGGCUUAACCAGCAGCUUUCAAUAAUUCUCCGGCAAUUAAUUUACCUGUACAAUGUUUUCCCAAUCCAUACAUCUUUAUCUCCGCCGUAUUGAUCCAAGAAAAUCCUGGUCUCCACACGUGGCAAGCUGGCGGACCAUGGGAACUCCAAGCCAUACUCCACCUAUAUCCAUUAAUGAUCGGUAAUUAAUUGAUGAUGGAUCAAAUUGUUGAUGAAUGCAUAUAUAUAUAUAUAUAUAUAUACACACACACGUACCUCUCCGGGAAGAUCCUUAGCGAUGAUCCAUUUAUCCAACAGUUGAUUAGCAGAUUGCUUCUCUCUGAGAUAAAUAUACGUGAAAUCCCUUGCUUCUUGUAGAAUGGAUUCUCCAGGGAACUGAAUCUGCGAAGCUCUAUUCAAAUUGUACAUUCCCGUAACUGCUUGGGUUGAUUGACCGGCGAAGCAGAAGAACUCGCCGUCUUUGUAAAACUUCUUAAACACGUCUAAAUUAAACACAACAUUACGUACAAUUCCAUCUGUUCAGAGCUUAUUAUGUAUGUAUAUAUAUAUAUAUAUAUAUAUAUAACUACCUGAGGAAACGUCGUAUCCAUGUAGCCGGAGGAGUCGGAAAGCCAUGGCAGUGUCAUCUACAUCUUGAAGAGUGGUGUUCCUUGCCCAACAGAUCCCAUCAUCAGACCAGUACUUGUAGACGUAGUCAAGACAUUCCUUGAUUUCAACCUCCAUAUACCGGGAAAUUCCCAAGCGUUGCAGCUUGUCAACCGCCCAUAUGUGUUCGAACAUGUCCACCGGAUACACAUUGGGCACUGCAUGCAGAUUCUGAUCAUUUAAUUUGCAUGAAUGUAUAUUACAUAUAUAUAUAGUUGUAUAUUUACCUCCACCAUUGAAGCGUUUGACGAUCUUCUCCAAGUACAGUAGACACUUGUCGUCUUUGGUCUGCAUGAGUGCGUAAGCAGUGGACGCUGGCGAGAACAGAAAUGAUCCAUCGGAGCUUUGUAGCUUGAUAAGUUUCUCCCAUUCUAAACCCGGUAUGCCUUCCAAGCUAUGCAGCAAUGUUGUGGGCAUUUGAUGCACUACAUCUUUUGGUAUUCUGAAUACAUAUGAUGCUAAUAAUUAAACCGAAAAUCAACGAGGAAAGUAUACCUGUUUACGUACAUUACAUUACAUACCUGUUGAUCUUGAAGCUCCUCAUGGUGUAAAUCUGUUGGAGUGCACCGGUAGCGUAAGGUAAAUCCAGAUGAAGAGUUCGGGCAAUAUCAAGAAGUGAAGGGAAAGUUAUCUCAAACCCAAUUGGCAUUUGUUCAGCAUCUUCUUCCUCAAGUCUGUCCAUGUUCUCCUGCAUGUAUUUCAAACCUGCAGAUCGAUCGAGCAGCAAAACCAUAAAUCCAUAAUGAUCAAAUACAGGUAACCCUAAUCAACGUACGUACGUAGUCAUGCACGUACCGCGUUUGUAUUUAUGAGGGCACACAUCCCAAGUUUUGAGAGCUAUAACACACGCAAGAGUGUUUAUGAGACGAUCGUGUGCAGUGUAAUGCUGAGCGUCGCCCCACGAACCGUCGGGGAGUUGGUUGUCAAUGAUCCAUUGAAGACUGGACGGGAAUUGAGGGACUGGUACUGCUGCUGUUUUUUCUCCGCUGAUCGUAUCAUCAUCAUUUCGUCGCUUCACAAGAGCAACCCAAGCCGUGUCGUACGCCGAUAUGCUUAUCUCACCAUCACCCAUUUUAGUCAACAUCAGCUUUAUCUCAUAUAUCUUGUUCCCCAACCGUUCUACUGCAUUCUCAUCAUCUUCUUUUGAAAAUUUAUUCUGAGCAGUACUGCUCAGUCGUUUGGAACCAACAUUGCACGGUAUCCAGCCUGGAAAUCUUCUUUUUCUUCCUCCUAUUGAAGAGUGAAGAAGGAUGCAACAGGUUAAAUUGCAGCUAAAUCCUGAGUUCAUUAAUGUAUCCGGCCUGAAUCACUCUUAAUUAAUUCUUCCUAAACUUCCUUAAUUUUAUAGACUGUUUAUCUCACCAGCCGUUAGUCGUUACCUAAUGAAAAGGCUGAAUCUGUGUGUCAUGGGCUGGACCGAAAAGGUUAGGUCUGAUCCAUUAUUCAGGUUGAAAUUAAGUAUGAUUUAGACAUGGAUUAUGGUAUCAUUGGUGGUAUAGUGUAUGGAUAGAUAGAGCAGGGCAGAGAGAAUAACGAAAUUGAGAAUGGGAUUCCUCUCCCUCCUCUACGGAUCUCGCUAUCAGGCAGGCUAUCGAGAACAGAAUAAAGUGGAACUAGAUUAUAUUUGAACAAGGAAUAUAUAAAGUGAGUCAAAGGAGUUAUUACGUACCUGAGAUGAAGGUGAUUGCUGGUUGAGGCAGGAAGAAGAAACUGCAGCGGCGCUGGGGAGGAAGAAAAUGAAAUGGUUUAAUGGUCGUAAUGGUUUUGGCUGAAAUCAUCUGCAUGCUCUCCAUCUGUAACCCUCCCAACUAUUUAAAUUGGAAUCGUUUUCCUUUUAUCCUUCGAAUCCCGCUAGCUAGUUUGAGCCUGCCUGCCUGCCAGCUGGUGGAAAUGUGAAAUGGAGAUUUUUUAUUUUAUUUUAGAAAUGAGAGCAAGCUUAAGCUAGUUUGUUUUCCUUUUAUAGCUAAACACUCGAGCACUGGAUAUUUUUGUUUGAUUCAGGUAGACAAAUGAGCAAUCAUGAAAAUGAUGAGCGAUGAUGCAUGAUCGGAUCAGAAUAUAUAGGAGAAUCAAAAUCAUUUAUAUAUCCAUUAAAUCGAUAAUCAAAAUGCUGAAUCCAUUAGAUAAUUAUCGAUCCUUACCCGGUUGAUCGGAGACGGAAGACAAGAUCUCCUCCUUGGUCGAUCGAUCCCUUGAAAUUUAAAUCAAUCUCCUUUGAACUUGAAUAUUCAUUUUAAUCAUUUUUAAAGUGCGAGGACGAGCGUAUAUACGUUGAUCAAAAAAGGUAUAUAAUUAAUUAAUUAAUUAAUAAAAUAAAUAAAUAAAUAAAUAAUAUUUAUUGUAAAUGUUUUUAAUUGUAUUCACAUUUAAAACCUUCCAAUUUCCACGUUCCAAAUACUAAUAACGUACAUCUUUCUUUUUAAACUUAAAUUCUUUUAUUUUCGUAAUAUUUCCUUUUUUCCUUCUAAAUACAAAUUAUAGUAAUAGUUAUUAAUUAAUAAUUUUCCAUGAUUUUUAUUCUUCCACUAUUAUAUAUUUAUCUAUCCAUUAUAAUUUAAAAGGCAACUUUAGCUGUAAAAGGCAUUAAUGUGAUAAAGUUGGCAAAAACAUAUCAUUUGACCGUCUAUUUUAGAUUUGAUCCUAUUUUUGUACGCUAACAUUAACCCUAACUCUUAUAAGAACCGUCAAAGGAUGUCUGAUAUCAGAUAACUCAGCACUAGCUUAAAAACAACUACACGACAACCCCCAAAGAUCGAUCGACGCUUAGACACAUGAUUAAAAAGAGUAAAUGGACCAAUUCUGUAUAGGCCAAAAGAUGAUCGUGAUAUAAAUAAAACGUCUGUAAUACUUUUGUUUUAAUGAAAAUAGCGAUUCCGGUGAGAUCCUGGUUUAAUACACGAUCUGUCCAGAGGAUCGCCAUCCUCACACAUUAAUAUAUAUGGUAUCAGUUGAGAAUGAUGUUAACUUAAAUUUUAAUUCCGUAAUGGUGAAUUCAAGUGGAGAAUCACCACGGUCAUCUGAAGCUAGAAAAUUCAUCCAACUCGAUCGAGCUCUGAAGAUAAUCCAAGCAUCUUCCAGUCCCCCAAACGCAAAGAUAGAAGAUCAUUGAUCGACCAAGAAACACCGACAAGAAAUAUUCAAGGGAGUCACCAUAUUUCCUCACUGCCGGCCGGAGAUCAUCUUGAUGCUACAAGCUUACUCUCUUUUUAUAAAUUAAGAUGAAUAUUAAGAGUAAUUACUUGAUCAAUUUAAGUUAAGCCAUGUACUUAGCAUUUAGAAAUUAGAAUUAGAUAACAAGGCCCAAUCUUGAUGUUGGCCCAUUUAAGUUAGGGUUAAGUUUUCGUUAGUAUAAAUAGAUUGUUGUAAUAGUUUAUAAUUAUCUUUUUGAAAUACAAUACAAAACCCUUGGGUUUCUCUCCCAACCGUCUCUCCCUCUCGACUCGCGACUUUCCAUCCAAAACCCUAGUGAUCCUCCGGCUCACACUCCGACUUUGUGAUGGUAUCAGAGCCUCUCGGAGUGCUGCGCUGCUAAAACCGUCGACACUGUCUCCAGUGAAGUUCAAAGGGAAACUCGUGAUUCAAAGAAGGAGAACCGACUCUGUCCGGCAUCCGUCUACACUUUUCUAAACAAAGGCUGGUAUAUCUAAGACCUUGCUUGUGAUAGAAUAAGAUCAUAUGUGUUAUGUAUGUUAUGCAUGCUGAAACCCUUAAAUCUAAGAAACUAUUUGUUGCAUGUCUAUGUAUGACACUCUAUCUAUCGCUGUUAGUCUCAACACCAUACCAAAAUGCUAUAACUGCUGAUCUAUACAUAUCAUGUGCUAUGUUUGUUAUUCCCAUGUUGUUGUUGGUUGCAUGCCUCAUUAGAUCUAUGUGCAUAUCACCUCUCUAUUUAAAAUCAUCUACUGAUGGUAAAACCAACGAUGUUUAUGAUUCUUUCAUGAAAGCAUCCAUGUAUAGGUAUGGUCUGAGAUCUUUCUCAGACCACACCAUAUUAAGCAAGUUGGACAUUUUGUGUCCAUGGCUGCGACUGGAUAGAUCACCCUGUUUAACUGUGAUCUACCCACACAAUGCACAAAGUAAGAUUUUUCUCAUAAUUUAUUCAUGUUCUAUUAGCUAUCUUAAAACAUUGAUUAAGAUAAAUAUUUUUAUCAUGUUGCUUCCGCUGCUAACCAACUAUUCAAAUAAGAUUAGACACUGUCUACAACCAAAACCAAUCAAAGAUGGGUUGAGAACCAUCAUCAAAGUCAUGUAUUCUGGCUUCUUCAAAUCAAUCUAUUUAUCAAGUCAAAAUUUUAAUAUGCAUUUUUUAAUUCAUUCAUCUCAUUUAAAAUGUACUUAUACGUACUAUACUGAUACAAUUGUAUUACUAUAAAACAUAUUACAGAGUAAUCAUCAUGUCUGAUAGUUAGAAUACUCAAACUGUCCAGAUUGUGAAAAAGAAACCACUAGGUGGUCCACUGUUCGAUCCUACAUCCAUAUACUUCUUUAAGCCUACUGACUAUGGCCCCCCAUCCAUCAUAAAUGUCCUACAGGGUAGCCAAAACUACUAUCUAUGGAAUAGGGAAAUGACAACAGGGUAACCAAAACUACAGGGUAACUAUACUCAUAACUAGAAGGAAAUUGGGUUUUGUUAAUAGAUCCAUCAAGGAACCAUCCCAAAAUGAUGAAGAGGAACAUGAAGCUUGGAUUACCUGUCACGGGAUAAUUCGUCAGUGGAUAUGGAGCUCUGUCUCUCAGGAGAUAGCCUCCCAAAUAAUGUACACGGAUGAUGCUGCAAUCAUUUGGGCUGAUCUCAGAGAUCAGUUCAAACAAUCAAAUAAAACACAUUUGUUCCAACUGACCCAAGACAUUGCCCUACUCCAACAAGGAUCAAACACUGUAUCUAAGUUUAGUGCCACCCUUAAGACACUAUGGAGGGAAGUAGAUGCUUAUGGAGAGGUUCCUAGAUGUAGUUGUGUCACUUGCACAUGUAAUGUCAAUGGAAGGAUAAAUGAAAGGGAAGAAAGGCUGAAAAUCAGAAAAUUCUUAAUGGGUCUGAAUGAUAACUUCAGACAGAUUAGAUCCACCAUCCUCUCAAUGGACAAACUCCCAAACUUUGGGAAGGUGUUUUCAUUGGUCAUACAUGAGGAAGCCCAACAAAAAUUAACCAACAAUUCAAACCCAAAUCAGGGCUCUGCAUUCUACUCUGCAAAAGAUAAGGCACCCUUCCAAACAACAGUUAGACCUACAUAUACCCCAUCUUCAUCCAAUUCAAAUCAAAGAAAAAGGCCCCCUACUCCUACUGAGCCAAUAUACUACAAAAGUGGUAAACAAGUCAACACGAGGUAUUACUGCUUCCACUGUGCUGUGUUUGGGCACAGUGAUGAAAAGUGUUUCAAUCAACAUGAAUAUCCUUCUAGAAACAUUAGGGCGAAUCCUACAACUCCAACACCAUCUGUGGUCAACAAAGCACAAGACUCAGCUAAUUGUAUGAACACUGAACAGACUUAGACACCAUGGGACAAUGAUGACAAAAAGACUGAAUCCUCUGAGAAUCCCAUUGGACCAUAUCGCUUUCCACUCUAUUCUGAGAAAUAUAAUCCAAGGUCACUGCCCAAGUACAAGGAUCCAGGUAAAGCAAAUUCUAUUUUUAACAAAUACUCAAAUAUUUAUUGGAUCAUUGACUCGGGUGCCUCUGAGCACCUGAGUGGAAAUGAAUCAUUAUUCCAAAAACUCACAAAGUGUGAUCCCUUCAAGAUCUCACUACCUAAUGGGGACAGUCAAACAGUCUCUUUAAAGGGUGACAUCUCUGUCUCACCCAAUAUCACACUAAAGGAUGUAUAUUUUAAUCCAUCCUUUCAAGUGAACUUGCGAUCCAUUAGCAAGUUAACUCAAUAUGACACUUACUCAUUUCAAUUUUCUAAAUCAUGUGCAUUCAUAUAUGACAAGGUUCAGAUGAAGGAAGUUGGUCAAAGUAGGAUGGAAAAGGGGUUGUAUCUGUUACCACAUACCAGUGAAGAUGAUUCUUUUGCAGGUGCCAUCACAACAUCGACAUGGCACAGAAGGCUUGGUCACACCUCAAGUGACAGGCUGAAACACAUUUUAAACAAUUUAUCUUUUAAUUUUUCAAAUUCUACUUUUAUUUUUGAUGAACAUUGUGACAUUUGCCAUUUUGCCAAACAGCCUAGGAAGUCAUUUCCACUUCAUGCAUCUACAACUAAGCAUGCAUUUGACUUACUUCACAUGGAUGUGGCGGGGAAACUUUCACACUCCAACAAUGCAUGGAAGAAGUAUUUUUUAACUGUGGUUGAUGAUUACACUAGGUACACAUGGACUUAUCUUAUAUCUAUGAAGUCUGAAUGUUUUAAUAUUUUAAUAUUUUUAAGAAUUUAUAUGCUCUCAUUGAUAAUCAAUUUGACACCUCUGUCAAAUCAAUUAAAACUGACAAUGGUGGAGAGUUUUUCUCUUCAGCCAUGGAUGAUUUCCUAAAGACAAAGGGAAUUAUUCAUUACUCCAGCUACCCCCACACACCACAACAGAAUGGUGUGGUUGAAAGGAAACAUCAACACCUAUUAAAUGUAGCUAGGGCAUUGAAAUUUCAAUGCUCCCUCCCAACUGAGUUAUGGGAAUAUGCAAUUCUCCAAGCCACUUAUAUCAUCAACUUGCUACCAUCCAAGGUAACACAAAACCUGUCCCCAUAUGAACUCAUGCAUUCCAAACAACCCAACUAUGAAGGACUCAGAACCUUUGGUUGUUUGUGUUAUGCAACAUGUCUUGUAAAAGAAAAAUUCUCCCCUAGAGCUAAGAAAUGCAUAUAUUUAGGUCAUCCCCCAACUCAAAAGGGCUUCAUCAUUUAUGAACUAGAUAGCCAACACAUCUCUAUAAGUAGAGAUGUUACAUUUUAUGAGGAUGAAUUCCCACUAAACAAAAACAACUCAAAAGAAACCAAGAGUCAUACAACAACUGAGAGAUUCAAUGACAUACUACUAAAUGACUCUGAUCUUUAGAAGUAUACCAAAUAUCUCAAACUGACUCACACUCUCAAAUUCCAACAGAUUCAAACUCUGAGCCAUCAGAGUCAAUUCAAACAAAUCCAAACUAUGAAAUUCAAAACCAAAUAACAUCAAACUCUGAGUCAUCAGAGACAAUCCAAGAACAACACAUAAACAUUGACACUAUUCCAAACAUCCAACAAAACUCAAGGUACCCAAAAAGACAAACAAAACCUCCCAUAAAGCUAAAUGACUAUUUCUGUUCAUUUGCAACAAGCUGUGGAAAAUCAAAAGGCACCUCAUAUCCAAUGCAUGAUUAUUUAACAUACAAGAGGUUAUCCACUGCUCACACUGAUUUUUUAGAUAAAAUUUCCAUAACUUCAGAACCAACAUCUUUCAAACAGACUAGCCAAAGCCCUGAAUGGGUAAAGGCUAUGAAUGAUGAACUUGCAGCCCUCGAGCUCAAUGACACAUGGGAAAUAGUGACAAAAUUACCAAAAGGAAGGAAAAUUGUUGGGUCUAGAUGGGUUUUCAAAGUAAAACACAAAUCUAAUGGUGACAUUGAGAGACUAAAAGCAAGAUUAGUUGCAAAAGGUCAUACUCAGGUAGAAGAUUUUGACUACAAAGAAACCUUCUCCCUUGUUGCAAAGAUCAUAUCUGUCAGGACCCUAUUAGCAGUUGCAUCAAUCAAAAACUGAAGCCACAUACCAAAUGGAUGUGAGCGAUGCUUUCUUACAUGGUGACCUAUCUGAGGAAAUAUACAUAUCUCCUCCUCCAGGAAUGUUGCCACCUGAUGAUACCAGAGUCUGCAGACUAAAAAAAUCUUUAUAUGGUCUGAAGCAAGCAAACAGAAAUUGGUAUGAGAAACUAACUUCUGCCUUAACCAAAUUUGGAUAUACACAAUCCCAUUCUGAUUACACAUUAUUCUUUAAAUCAUCUUCAAAUUCAUACACUUGUCUACUUAUUUAUAUGGAUGAUCUAAUCAUAUCAGGUGACAAUGAAGCUGAGAUCCAAAAGUUGAAAGAAUACCUACAUCUUCAAUUCCAUAUAAAAGAUUUGGGCAAACUCAAAUACUUUCUAGGAAUUGAGGUAUCUCAAUCAAACCAGGGUAUUUUCCUAUCACAAAGGAAAUAUGCCCUUGAUAUUCUACAUGACUUUGGGCAAUUGAGAUCUUCCGCAUCUAAAUCCCAAUGUCCCACAAUUACAAAAAUCCGGAAAAGGAUGCCCCACUAAAGGAUCCAUCAAUUUACAGGAAGCUAAUUGGGAAAUUGUUAUAUUUAACAAUCACAAGACCUGAUAUAGCUUUCUCAAUUAGUCAUCAUAGCCAAUUCUUGGCAAAUACCAAACAAUCACAUUUUAAUUCAGCUAUGAAGAUACUGAAAUAUGUAAAAGGAGCUCCAGGGAAAAGCAUCUUGUACAAAAGAGAUGCACCUCUUCAACUAGAGGUUUACUGUGAUGCUGAUUGGGCUGAUUGCCCUAACACCAGGAAAUCUAUCACAGGUUAUACAAUACUGCUAGGAGGAUCAGCUAUAGCAUGGAAAUCAAAAAAACAAUCAACAAUAAGCAGGUCAUCUGCUGAAAGUGAAUAUAGAGCUAUGGCCUCAACUGUAUGUGAGAUAAUGUGGCUACAUUAUUUUCUGAAUGACUUACAGGUUAAACCAUCUGGAGAAACACUGCUACAUUGUGAUAAUAUGGUUGCAAUACACAUUGCAUCAAAUCCAGUAUUCCAUGAGAGCACUAAACAUAUAGAAAUUGAUUGCCACUUAAUUCGUGACCAUCUUCAAACAGGUCUAUUCAAAUUACAACAUGUUUCAACAACAUCUCAGGUGGCAGACAUAUUAACAAAACCAGCAAGUCUGGAAUCAUUGAGAAAUCUACUGCCCAAGCUGGGACUCUAUGAUAUACACUCUCCAGCUUGAGGGGGGGUAUUAAGAGUAAUUACUUGAUCAAUUUAAGCUAAGCCAUGUACUUAGCAUUUAGAAAUUAGAAUUAGAUAACAAGGCCCAAUCUUGAUAUUGGCCCAUUUAAGUUAGGGUUAAGUUUUCGUUAGUAUAAAUAGAUUGUUGUAAUAGUUUAUCAUUAUCUUUUUGAAAUACAAUACAAAACCCUUAAGUUUCUCUCCCAACCGUCUCUCCCUCUCGAUUCGCGACUUUCCAUCCAAAACCCUAGUGAUCCUCCGGCUCACACUCCGACUCCACGACUUCCGACUUUGUGAAUGAAUUCUCUUAAAUAUUGGAUUUAAUUAACCCGACAAAAUCAAAUCAGAUUAUUCUCUUUUCAUAAGAGAAAAAAAUCAGAAUAUAAUAUAUCUUAUCGUCUGAAGCAAUGAAUUAGAGAUUGAAAUUAUUAAAAUCCAAUUGAAAAAUCAGUUCAAAUUACUCAAACACUUAGAAAGUUUUAAAUUAUAUCUUAAGCAUUGAAUUUUGAUAGGAUGGGGAAAAAAUGAUUAAAUUUGUUGGUCAACUAAAAUAUAUUUCUGACUUAAAAUGACAUUUAAAUUUUGAAUGAAUCAACAAGUAUGAUAUAUUAGAAUUUGGAAUCCAGUUCACAAAAGCACCUGUCGUUCUGUCAAUGCUGUCAAAUGUGAAAUUAAAUCGAACCGGCCGUUAUUAUUUAAUCACAACUUAUAAUGUUAUUAAAUAUCACGUGACGAUGAAAUUUGAAAAUGGAAUAUUAAAAAGUCAAAUCUGACUUUUUAUUUAUAUUUACGUGCUUAUGAACCAAAACAUCAACUUUAUCCGCCUGAUUCCUUUCGUUUUCCUUCACCCUCCGAUCCUCCAUACGACCAUACCUUCAUUCCACCAUUUCGGUGUGGGGUAUGAAUCCAGUCGACAGUGAAAAGACAGAAACAGAUGAUUGGUAUGAUUGAUACAAUAUAUGCACAAGGAGGAAGCGAUCGAGAAGAGGAGGACGAAGAGUAGCCAUGAUGAGAGAUUUCGUAUCAUGUUUCAGCGAGAAAGUUGUGGAAAUCAGAGACCCAAAACGUAAUUCCGGUGAAAAUGCUCAGGACAUGAUAGCAUGCGUUUAUCAGACACAUGUAGCAGGUUACACGCAGAUAAUCACCGUCACCUGGAUGAAGAAUAACACGGCGGGAAGGAGAUUCAGCAUUCAGAUUGAUAAUUCAAACGAUCACUGUCGAGGGUUCUUUAAGCUGGAAAACACGCCAUGGUUGUCGUCGAAGAAAAAAGGAUCCAAGAUUCUCGGAUCGGGUAGUGGCAAAGUUGGUAUUCACUGGGAUCUUUCUUUGGCCAGAUUCGAGACCGGAGUACCGGAGCCAAUGGAGAAAUACUAUGUUGCGGUUGUAGUCGAUCUCGAGUUAGUUCUUCUCGUCGGCGAUAUGAUCGGAGAAGCUCAGAAGAAGAUUAAGAUCGCCCAUGAUCACUACAACUCUCUUUCGAAUGUCAUGUUGAUAGCCAAGAAGAAGUACAUGUCCGGCGAAAGCAAACACUACUCCACCAGAUCGAAAUUCUGUAAUAACGGACUAACCCAUGAUAUCACCAUCAACUGCGAGACAUCCGACGGCGUCAAGGAACCGUAUCUUGAGAUACGAAUCGACAAGAAGAGAAUCGUUUUGGUAGAAAGGCUUAAGUGGAAUUUCAGGGGAAAUCAGACGAUUCUAAUCGAUCAUCUUCCUGUUGAGGUUUUCUGGGAUGUUCAUAGUUGGGUGUUUGGUUCGAGUAACAGACGCUUAAGACCUGCCAUGUUCAUGUUCCAAACUAGUGGGCACUCGUCGGAGAGAGCAUUUCCAUGGUAUUAUCACCAGAAGUUCAGAGAAUCACAGAUGAAUGGUCUUGCUUUCUCCCUCAUCAUCUUUGCUUCUACCGAAGUCGAGUAAAUAUAUUUCAUUUGUGUAGUUUUACAAAUUUAGAUGGAUUAAAUUGUAAAUUUCCCAAUCAAAUAAUAUGAUCAAAGUAUCAAACAAACCCAUGUGAUGAGAAUAUGAGACGAGACGAGACGAGACAACCGGAAAGUCAUUGGGUGUUAAUUUAUGUUAGAUGACUUCCAAGUUGAUCAUUAAAUUUUUAUAAUCACGUCAUUAACUUGUGCUUGAUAAUUAAAUCAAAAGGGAAUUUUCAAACUAAAGUGGGACAUGGACGGACAUCAAAGAUAUAGGCUUAAAAAUAAUCACAGAUAUUUUUCAAAAUUUCUACCGGAAAAGAAUAAAUGAUUUUAAUCAAAGUAUCAAAUUUUUAGUUGGAAAAAGACAUUAACCAAUAACCAUAUGGUCCAUGUCCACAUUGGUUUGAUUAUUGAUGGGACCUUUAAUUUGACAUUAUUAAAUAAUCUGAAAGAUGGGUUAGUUAGAAGUUGAUCAUUAAAUUUUUAAUUUGUGAAUUGUGAUUAAUAAAUUUAAAGGAAUAUUUUUCACAACAAGAAGAGUUAGUUAGUUAGUUAAUUAGUUAGUGGUAACCUGGUAGGUAAGGAUGUAAUUGGAUUAGUUAGACUAUUCAGGCUCGUCCAAUGCGCUCUCCAGUGCGUAGUUCGAGUUGGACCCUUCGUUCUUAACUUAUCCCUGACGCGAAAGAGUUCUGUGAAACGUGUGGGAGACCCUCUGUUCCCUAUAGCAUUGAGUUCCCUAGCGUGCGAGCUUUGACUUUGUUGGCAAAGAAUGAAGAGUUUGAAUCUCUGAGCGUAAGCCAAUCUAGCUUAGACUGGAAUUUUAGUUACGCCUCCUCUUAAUCUCCCAAGGUGCCAAUGUCUCAUCAAUUAUAUCUACUUGUUGUAGGCCAUUUCACAGUCAACCAUCAUCAUUAUAGACUCGCAUGGUUGAUCAAAAGUUCGAAACAAAUCGGCAUAAGAAUAUCGUGAUUACAUAUGAUAAGAACCAAAAUGGACAAAGAAAACAAGACUGGAACUGAACCAAAUAUACAUUUUACACUUCCAGAUAUGUGAAUGGCAGAGAUUUUCAAAACCCUGUUCAUAGCUCAUGUUUCAAGAUGAUAUUGACGAUGGAUACAGUGGAUUUUGGCCGAUAGUGUUCAUCUGUGUCAACUUCUUCAAUUUCCUGAAACCGUGAGAUACCAUAAAUUACAACAGCAGAAUCAAGACAUCCAGGAUAAAUGAUGAAAAAAACGGUUACAGAUUUGAUUUACAUACAAACCUGAAUGACUUCUUCUCCAUUAAUAAUUCUUCCAAACACAAAAAGUUUGUCAUCCAAAUCAGGGAUAGGAGAUGUUGUGAUUAAGAAUUGAAAUUCAUUACUCUCUUGUUUCACAUUACAAGUCCCAAGCAUAAAAGCCUCAUGUUUUUCACUGUUAAAUUAAAUAUCAACCAAACCCAGUAUGUUGUUAGUAGUUUUUAGGCAAAAAUUGAAAAAUUAAGAUCAUAUUCAUAUAUAUAUACCUUGAAGCAAGAUGACCAUCUGACUUUCUUUUUAACGUCCAGUCUUCUGCAUCUCCCAUUCUAUUUAAACCACCACCCCCUUGAAUUACAAAAUUCUUAAUUACAUGAUGAAAUGGCACCCCUUUGAAAUAUUCCUUUUGACUGCAUUACAAUUUACAACAUGUAAGAGAGAUUAAGAAUCAAUGGGGGGAGAUAUAGUAAUACAUAGCAUAUCAAAAUUGAAUGUUUACUUCCAAGUUCUCACCAUAAGUCAAGGAAUUGAUCUACAAUACCAGGUGCACUGUCCUUCAAGAGCUCAAAGCUGACAAUGCCUUUAGAGGUAUUCAUAAUCUAUUAAAAAGUUAGGAUUAUUUACAACCAAAAUUCAAAUAUAAUAAUUAAAUUAGAAUCUCUGGAGAUACUUACAACAUAAUUAGGGAGAUCAUAUUUCUUUGUUUCUCCCAAUGAUUCAAGAUCCUUCUAAACAGAAGAAGAAGAUCAGGUAUCAGAAACAGCAAUCUCGAGUAAAAAUAAUCCACCAUUCAUUCGAUAUGUAAAUAUGUAUAUGAAGAAAAACAACUUGAUAAAGAUGAAUCAGGAGUUUCAGGACCAAAUAGACAGACCUCAGAAUUGUUGAACUCAGUUUCAAGUUGAUUGCUUCGCUUAUAACUAGAACAUGGUUGAAUUGAUCAAUCAGACAUGGAGGCAAAAUAAGCAAAAUGUAAAACAAGCAUUCAAACCAAGAGAUUUAUUUUCAACAUCAAUAUUCUAACCUUCGGUACCAUAAUCCUUGCCAAUGCUUGUACGUGCAAUACAAAGAUAUCACAAUCAAGAUGACAAUUACGUUGCAAGUAAUAAUAGUUGGUAAGCCAAUUCCGCUCGGCCCUUUUUUCUUCUUGCUCUGUAGCAGCAAUGCCUGAGGCUUGAUUUUCGCCAUGGUUACUUCCCCCUCUUGAAACCAAUCUGAAGCAUGCAAAUCAGAAAAUCGAAAUCAAAUCGCAACAUUAAUGGAAUAAACAUCAACCGAAACCCUAAAUUAAUCUGCAUUAUCGUAUAUCCGUAUGGACACGGAACAACGAUACGAGGACAGAAGAUCUAUCUAGACAGUGGAGAUUAAGAGACGGAGACACCAAACCAAUGCAGAAGCUGCAUCCAGGUGAUCGGAAGAUGCCGGCAGGUGAUCGUUCGUUAUGGAAGGAGGAGGGAGGAAAAUUUUAGUCCCGUCACUCAGUAACCGUUCGAUCCAGUGAGUGGUAGUGGUGGGUGGGUUGAAAACUUGAAAAUAGAAAUAAACAGUUAGAAAAAAAUAAUUUAUAAUUUCCAACCAUCAUGGUGAGCACUAGAUAUUUCUCCGGUAAUUCCAUGAAAGGAGGAGCUUCUGCAGUGGAAACAUUUGCUUCAUGGUUGAAUUCAUGUGAAGAUAUCAUAACACUGAAGAAGAUCCAUGCCUGCACUCUUACUUCCGGCCAUGGCGACAAUAUCUACUUGGGUACCAAGCUUCUGAACUCAUAUGCCAUGUUCGGUACCAGUACCAGCUUGGGCGAUUCAAGAUCGGUGUUUUCCAAAAUCGUGAACCGAAAUCCAUCUCUCUGGACUUGUACCAUCGUUGGGUAUUUCAGAAGCGGUCACUUGGACGAGGUUUGCGAUCUGUACAUAAGAUCAAAACGCCAUGGAGUUUGUGGUGACAGUGGUAUCUUUACAUUUAGUCUGAAGAGCUGCACGGCUCUUGGGAUGGUCAAGUUAGGAAGGACAAUCCACGCUUCUGCUCUCAGAACAAAUUUCAGCGUUGAUAAAUUCGUGGGGUCUUCUCUUGUUGGGUUCUACGGCCGAUGUGGAAGCAUCAAAGAUGCACGCCAAGCGUUCGACGAAAUUCUUCACAAGGACGUCGUAGCAUAUACGACGAUGAUCACCUCAUACGCACAGUCUUGUCAUCUGGAAUCAGAAGAAGCAUUUGAUGUCGUCAUCCGUAUGCAUGAAGAAAGAGUCAGUCCUAAUCGAGUGACCUUGGUGAGCUUGAUGCAAGCUGCGGCGCGAGGUGAAGCGUACAGAGAAGGACAGAUAAUUCAUUGCUACAGCUUAAGAAGAGGAAUCACUGAUGAGGUGCUGACAACUUGUCUCAUCGACAUGUACAUAAGAUGCAAUGCAACGAAAUCUGCUAUGUCAGUUUUCCGAAGAAUGGAAGAAAGAUCGGUGGUUAGUUGGAACGCGAUGAUCUCCAGUCUUGUGGAUGUCGGCCAUCCUUACGAAGCACUGCGGGUCUUUAAUCUCAUGAAAAAAGAACAGGAUUGGAUAGGUGAUGAGAUCACCCUAGCUAACGCGAUUAUGGCGUGUAAUGAUCUUAAAUGGACAUAUGUUGCCAAAAGUAUACACGCAUGGAUAGUCAUCCGACACGGGAUGAUUUCCGUCGUCGACUUGGUUUUAACGACAGCUCUCAUUGCGACGCAUUCAGAUUCAGAGAUGAAGAUGGCAAGAGCACUCUUCGAUGCACUCACCGAAAGGGAUGCGAUUUGUUACAAUGUGCUUCUUUCCGGGUACCUUCGAAACGGAUUCAUCGACGAGGCGAUUCCGUUAAUGGAGAGGAUGGUGGCGGUGGAUAAGAUUCCGCUCAAUUCCGGAACGCUUAUCGUUCUUCUGUCGGCAUUCGCCCAACUAUCCGAUCUCACUCGAGGUAAGUGCAUUCACGGUUACGCACUCCGUCGCGGAUUCGAUUCGACGGUUGAGAUUUCGAAUCAGAUUCUGAUCAUGUAUGCGAAAUGUGGUCACAUGGGAGUUUCGAGACAGGUGUUCGAAAAGACGAUGAAUGUGAAAGACCUGGUUUCAUGGACGUCUAUGAUUUCUGGGUAUGUCCACUGCGGUCAGCCGAAGGAAGCCAUUGCGGUGUUCUGGAGAAUGCAGAGGCUGAAAAUUAAACCGGAUUCAGUGACCUUCGUCAGUCUUCUACAGGCAGUUUCCGGAUGUUAUCUGGGUACUUGUUCUAUAAACCAGGUGAAUAUGAUCCAUGGGUUGAUCCGGCGACUUGAACUGAAUCGGAAUGUGGUUCUUCUCAAUUGCUUGAUAUCGACUUACUCCGAGUGCGGAAGACUCGACAUUGGGAAGAGAGUGUUCGAUACAAUGCCGGAACGGAAACUUACAUCCUGGAACGCAAUGAUUGCUGCUUAUGGAAUCCAUGGGCACUUGGAUGAUGCCAUUCAACUCUUCGAUCGGAUGAAGAGAGAAAACGUGAAACCAGAUGGAGCAACGUUCACUUCUUUGUUGUCAGGUUGUAGUCAUUCCGGUCGGGUGGAGAAUGGACGGGACAUUUUUCUGACCAUGACUUCUAAGUACUCAAUUGCCCCAAACGAAGAACACCUUGCCUGCAUGGUCGAUUUGCUAGCUAGAGCAGGUCACGUUGAGGAAGCGUAUCAUCUCACCAGCAGGUUUCACUUGAAAAAAAAUGUUCAUGUUCUGACUGCAUUGAUGUCUGCUUGUAGGGUGUAUGGACACACGGAUUUAGGCAAGGUGAUUGGUAAGGAACUUAUUCACCUACAGCCUGGUAAAUAUGGUAAUUAUACACUCGCAUCAAACAUGUGUGCAUUUGCUGGUGAAUGGAGCAAAGCUGCAGACUUAAGAAAUGUAGCUGCAGAUAUAGGAUUGGCAAAACAAUCUGGAUUCAGCAUUUCAAACUCAACUGUCUUGUAAAUAUUCCAACGUUAACACAUUUUAUAUCUCAAGCUAAAUUAGCUACGAGUAGAAUUCAUUAGCUUGUAUGAUUGUAUUUUGAAUUGCAACUUGGAAGUAAAUAUAGACAAUAACUCAAUUUGAUUUAUACACACCAUAUUGAAUAUUUGAAUGCAUGAUAAAAAUACUACCUGCCACUGGAAUGGAAUGGAAUGGACCUGUUCAUUUCAAUGCGUGGUUAUAGUCAUGGAAGUAGAAUGUCUUGUAAAUAAAAUUAGACAGCCAACGAGAUGCAAGGAAGCAUAAUACAGCUGCCAAAACUACUGCAUUCCUUGCUGCACUUGAUAACACAUUCUGCUUCACUGCAGCAAGAAUCCCAAUGGAGGCUAUUGGUAGCACCUGAAGAAUAACCUCCAAGAUUUUCAAACCUUUGAGUGCACUGUUGCAGCUUCUGCAUUGCACGACAUGAGAGUAGUAUCUGUAGAGUUGGAAAUUUUAAAACUGUAAGUUACCACUAACGAUUUUGAAUUUUUGAUAAUUGAGUAAAUGACACAUCAAAUGUGAUCAGAAAAAAGGAUUUGAAAAUUACUACUGAGAUUUUUAUUAAAAUUCUAAAGGAUUUGAUAAUUGAUACUAACCUUUUCUUCAAAACAUAGCAUAAUAACUAUUAACUAAUAACAUUCAUUUAUUAAAGAAACAAAACACAUUAGAAGAUACCAUUGAAGAUUCAAAUCAAAUACCUCUCCAUUAGCUGCUCUUUUGAAGAGGGUGUUGGGAGGUCCAAGUUUGAAAUGUUUUUCCAACCAACUUCACAAUUUGAGUACUUACUCAACCAUUUUCUGAAAGAGGUGACAAAUGCAUCUGCCUUUGUAGGAACAAAACAUGCUUUUUGCCAUUGAGCAUUACCAAUCUUUGAGAUUUUCUUCUCCUGCAUAACAAAUAUAUUUCUAAUAAGGUAAUAAACUAGGUUAUAUAAUAAAAUAUAUAAUCAGAGGAAUCUGACACUCAAUUCUUUGCAAACAACAACUGAAAAGUGACAACCAUACUGAUCGAGUGAUUGUGGUACUGUGAUGCCUAGAUCUCUCUUAGAUCUGACAUUAUCAAGGGUCGUCAAUUACCAUUCAGAUAAACACAAGCAAUUACCCAAGAAUAUACAUAGUAAUAAAGUUGCAGAUACAAUUCAUUUUCGAUCAAAAUAUAUUACCUCCAAAUGAAGAAGGUAGAGAUCUGAAUCUAGAACUAGAUUUUGUGAAAUAUGAAAUAUCCAGGGAGGCAAGAUUCGAUCAGCCCAAAUAGCAAAGUUCCUUGGAAAUGACCAAAUCAAUCGGCUUCUUCCUGGACUAACAGGGAUGCAAAUAAAAACAAGACAUAUCAUCCGUUUAUUCAUUUGGGAACUACCGUAUGGGUCUUCCUGUAUGCACGAAAAGGGCACUUUUAAGUAUUAAUUAUCGAAAACCCGAGUAAAAUAUAUAUGAAGGACAAGUACGAUGUUAUUUAACAUUACAAGUUAAAACCAACCUCUAAUAUGCUCUCUGAUGGGUUAGAUCUCUCAUCCAAGCUUUGAGGAAACAUGCUAAUUAUACAUGGUGCUAUAAAUCUGAUGAAAUUUAAUCCAUUCUUUCCUUGGACGCCAGAACUAUUUAGUACCUGUACAGUCAUGUCCAGAGGCUUGCCUCCUUCUCUGUCAAUCCUAUUUGUGUGAAAAUCAUAUGAUUUAUUAAUUUUGAAUCAAAGAAAACAAUAUCACAAAAUUAGAUUACAAUAUCAUUACAACACAUUAAAAAAAAUCAUAUCAGAGCAUCUGAUCAUACAAGACAUUGCAAAAGACCCUCAACUAUUGAAAGAUUGUAUAGAAACACUUACUUGUCUGGAUUAUCUCGGAGCUUCAUUAUACCAUAGUGAGCAUAUUGAACAUGAGAUGGGUCCAAAAGAUUCUCUAUCAAAAUAUCGUACCUGAAACAAUAAUUUGAAGUUAGAAGCAUUGCAAGUUGCAAGUCGUGUUAUGAUGUUGUAAGGAGGAAAACAUAAUACUAUAAUACCAUGCUAAAAACUAACCAAGGAUUCACAUUGAUUAUGAUAAUAAGUUUAAAUGAGUUGAAUAAUCAUCUGAAAAAUACUCUUUUAUAUUUUCACAACUGCUUCACAAAAAAGUAACUGUUCGAUAUUGUCGCAUACUCGCAUGUUGACAAAAGUAAUCAUCUUGUAUUUCAUCCUGGCCUUAUAGCGAUGGUUGUAACUAAGCCAUCAUAAACAGCUCCAAGAAACCCUGGAAUGAAGAGUGCUAAAUCUUUAUCCGUGACUUUAUCUCCCUGCCAGAGCUAAUAAAUUUUAUAUUUAAACCAUUUGAGAUAUGAAGUCCUCCGUGGACUAAUCUCCUUUGUUAGUGGUCUGAAGUGUGAGCCUAAGUUGUAAAGUUCUCACUUGUGAUGUUGAGGCAAAGACCUUGGCCAGAGUAGACCAAACAUCUGCUGAAGUGUUGCGUGCACAGACCUUUGGUAAGACCUCCUCGGUCAUGAGUCAUCCCAUUAACAAGCUGUCUUGUUGAUCCCAUUCUUCAUGAUUUAGACCUUGCUUAUUUCUAAUGAAUUCCCUAUCAUCGUUGGGAAUUGGUGAUGGCAUUUCAAAGGAACCAUUCACAAAGCCCAGCAGCUUCUUCCCUUUGAGAAUAGCAGUCACUUGUUGUCGCCAAAUUGCAUAAUUAUUCUUGUUUAGUUUUACAGUUUUUACACUGUAAAUGUUGUUGAUAGAAGAAAAGGUGUGCAUAAACUCCGAAGGAGAAGAUGGAUUAGGGGUUUUCUCCAUUGUUAAAAAAUAAGUGGAUGGAUGAUUACAUGAAAAGAAAGAAAAAUCAAAUUUCCCAAAAAAUUUGGGGAAGAACCCUAAAACAUGGAAAGAAAUCAAGAAAGGAAAUAUGCAAUUGAAAGAAAGAAAUUAAGAGAAAUAUUAACUCUGGUUAAAAUCAUCCAAUAUCAUAACAACAAACUAAAGUAUUGGAUGAUUAUAUAAUAGACCUUGGACCUGUGUUAUAUUAUAAGUAGGUUCUAUAGUAGAUUAGUAGUUAUAGUUUGACAACCUUAACCAAGUUGUUAUUUGUUCAUAACUGAGCUAAGUAAUAUAGGACACUGACAACUCCCUUUUUUUCCAGUUUAUCAUGAGUGAAACAAGAGAAUUGAGUGAAUCUUACCCAUAUGAAAUAUCUCUUAUCCCCAACACAGAUGAGAAAGAGGGGUCAUCCAACCCUGGGAUAGUAGGAGGUUUAUUUGUAAGAGAGAUAUCUUUAAACUUGGGAUCGCUGUUUGGCCAAAACCACACAAUCUUAUUCUGCUGAAAACAUGGAUAAACAGAUGUACAUGCUUUCUUGGAUGUAUGAAUCUGCACAUAUAUCGUGACAAGUAAUAGAUGUUAUUUGUAAAUACAGUGGUUUAUGAAAUUAUUACUUUAUGCGGGAAUAAAACAUGAAAUGUAUCUAAAAAAAACAUGAUUUUGGAACCACAAAAACGUUAUAUAAGGUAAGAAUUCAACAUGUAAGCUGUGGUUAAAAUCUCCUGGUUAAUCCCUCUCAAAUUUCAAUAGUUGUUUCCGAUGUGAUCAAUCCAUCAUCCAUGCAAGAAUGAGAUAGAUUCAAAUAUUCAAUUAACAAAACCGUGAGAAAUAAAGUUGAAAAUGAGGGAUGGUAUCCUGGAAAUUGAAAUAUGGAAUGAAUACGUAAAUAAAUAAAUAGAUCUUAGGAUUUUAAAAUUUAUAAAAUUACCUCCGGUCCGUCUCUUGGAGCCUGAGGAAUUAACUUGCAAUUCCCAUUUCCAUCAAAACACCAUCCAUGAUAUACGCACUGCAACCUUCCCAAGUUAUCGAUCCUCCCUUGGGACAAAGGCGCGAGUCGGUGAGGGCACAUAUCCUCAAACACCUUCCACUUCUCUUCCGAUCUAUCCCACCACAGCACAACAUCAAUCCCUAGCACAGUCUUAGCGUGUGGCACUCUCUUGUCGAGGUCGGAAACAGGUGCUAAAGGAUACCAAUGGGAGUACCAGUCGAAUUUAUCAUCUUCGGAUUGAACCUCAUCGUCAGCAUCGAUUGGGGCAGUGUUCGCCGUGGCUGGGGAAACGCCAUGGGGGCGGAAGCGUAAGAUAUUGGGUUGCAAUAGUUUGAUAUUGGUUUGUAACGAUUUGGGCUGGAAGGAGAAUAGAGGAGCGUUAUGGUUUGUUGAACAGGGAAACGUGUGACUGAAUUGGGAUCGGAAUCGUGAUAGUGCGCGCGCUUCCAUUGAUUUGGUUGCCACUGUUCAACUUGGUAUCAGAAACUUACGGUGAUAUGAUGGUAUCAGAGAUUUAGAACGGAAGACUACAAAUACACUACGAAGUAAAAAGAUAUACAAAGUCAAUCUUACGACCUUACUUGAACAGGAUCUGUUCUAUAGGAUCGUACUACUAUUGUCUUUAGUAAUAAAGAGACUAGUUAAAAAAGAUAUACAAAGUAAGAAAUGAAAGAAUAGGUUAAACUUAAAAAAUAAAAAUCCCAAUUUGGGUUAAAAAAUAAAAAUGAAAGAUUUAGUCUCCAUGCAACGUGGAACUGAAUCGAGGUGUUCCGGAUCUGUAGUUGCCCUCACUUCUUGGAGACAGAUUGACUUGCUCCAAAGCGCGAAAUUGGAGCUCAGACGGAAAAUCCCUUACACAACUAAUCCGAGGGCCGGCGCCGGUUGUCCAUUUCAUGGAUAAUUGUUUUCCCAGUUGGAGAGACUUGGUCCCUUUCUUUGAAUUGAUUCUCUUAAGUAUCAAUUCUCGCGACACAACUGGUUCUUCAUUUUUAUUGUUUCCAUCUUCUUCUUCUUUCUCAUCUCUGACCUCCACUUCCUCGAACAGAUUUCGUUUAUGGAAAGAAGGUUCUGUGAUUGUAAAAGAGGUAGUUCUUGUGGAUCGACUAUGCAACCCUUCAACAUCUUCAUCGAUUGGGCUUAUCUGAAUGAUCGAUCGAUGAACAACAUUGUGAAUCAGUGAGUUUAUAACUUAACUAGCUAGUCAACUGAUAGAUUUUACUGCAAUUUAAAAUAAAAUAGUUUCCAACCUUUACGUCGGUAAGAUCGACAUUGUUCUCCUUCAGAAAGCUCAAGAAUUCUUGAAAAUUUUCUUCUGUCGGUCGAUAGUGCCCACUAUGAGGCCACACAGCCUGCAAAGACAAAUAAUAACACGAUUAAGUAAGCAAUUUUCUUCAUUUUUAUCUUUUUUAAGAUGACAUAUUUAAAUCUGUCGUCAUUAAAUCUCGAUUUGAGUGACAGAAUCUUAUUAUCUAUAUAUUUAUGUACCUUAAGAAUCCCUUGUUCCACCACUAAUCUUCCAGCAGAUGACGUCGCACCUCCGGCCAAGAAACUAGAAUGUUGGAAUUUUCCUUUCUUUUUCUGUAUUAUUGGUUAUCAGUCAAUCCAUCAUCGUUAGAUUUGAUGCCAUUGAUAUCGAAAGGACAGGUUAAGAAAAGAAGAAAAGUAAAACCUUGGCGGCGUAUAAAAUUUUGGAAGCGCUAAGAACAAAUAUCCAUUUGGAAUCUUUGUUAUCUGCAUAAGUAUCCAAUAAUUGUUGAUUCUGUUUGUAGAUUAGCCUGCCGUCUUCGACAAUCACUUGGUAAGUUUCACGCUCUUUCUGCAAAUGAGAUUCAGGUUUAUCACCACCGGACUGAGAUUCAGGUUUAUCAUAUCAGAUGAAGUAACUAACUAACUCACUCACCGGACCGAGAUAUUUGAUGCAUUGUUGUUGAAGCUUCAGUCGAGAGCACUUGUCGAUGUUUUCCUCCUUUCCAUCGCCAACAUCAAGCCUGAAGAAAAAAUUGAACUUGAAUGAGAUAUGAAGCCAUUUGUGGUGCUGUUGUAUUUGAGAGACAGACAGAGAGAUCUAGAGAUUAUAUUACCAGUAAAAGAAGGGCUGUUUGCUUUCACAGUGAAGCCAACGAACAUAAUAGAGAUGCAGAUUGUGUCCGUACCGAUGUCGUGGAUCAAUCUGAAAAACAAUAGCCAAGAAUUUAGCUUGCGUUCAAAAAUAUUUACAGUUAAAAUUGUAACUUACUGCUUCCAGCCAAUGUUGCAGAGCAAGUUUCUGAGCUUUGGUGUUCUUGGACAGUCCUUUUCCAACCUUGGCAGCUUUAGUUCGAGCUCUGGACCAACGAGAACCCACAGAUUCCGGCUUCUCAACGUCGAAAUAAGAGCUGUGCUUGAGCAAUGCGAAAUCCAACAGCUUCCACCUUCAUAUAUUAAUCAUCGAUCAAUAAGAUUUCUGUUAAUAAAUAUAUAUAAUAGCUGGAGUGAAAAGGAUUAGAUAUCAAUCAAACAUGUACACUUGCUUACCAGCUCUGCUCGACAAGGACAGCGCAAUCUGCGAGUUGUCUUCUGGUUCGAAAACUCUUGUAUACUUUUUGAAGCUUGACGGCAGCAGCCUCAUGCUUUGGGUCGUCUUCUGUCGGAAUAGAAUCUCGCACAUCGUCGGUUUCCGUUGUUGUCGUUCUGAGGAGGUUUUGUUUCUGUAAUGUAGUCUGCAAAUGAAAUUCAUCGGUUUUGGUGGUAGAUUUAAAACUGAGGGAACCUUGUAUGAUAAUCUCUCCAGAACCAAAAGAUUUCAAUUUCGAACACUCCCCAACUCGUCGUCCACCACCACCGAAGCUAAUCGUGCGAAUAAUAGUGUUGACAUCCUCUCCCGUCAAAGUCUUGAAACUGAUGGAUCUUCUCACCGUCGGUACCGCCGUUGCAACACUUUCGACCUCAUCCAAGUAGUCCGAACCAGGACAUGAAAACCAGAUCCCCAUCAAAUUUCUAAAAAACCCAACUUAGCAAUCAAUAUCACAGUGAUGGAUGGAUGGAUACUAAUAUGGGUUAUUGUUCGUUUAAAUAGUCAAGACCAGGAGUAGUUGAUCAACUUAGUAGUUGUAGCAUUGACUAAGCACCGACUGAUGAUUUGACUUUUUUAACAGAUGUUUUAUUUUUAUUUAUAAAUUUUCUGACAUUCUCGUGAAUGCAAGUGCAACACAAUUAAGUACACCGACCGUACUGAACUAGUGAUCUACUGAUCCAUAUCCACAGCUCGACUUCACUGGAAGGAAAAGAAGAAGAAAGGAAGGAAGGAAGCCAUGGUUGCAAGCUGUAGUGCAUGCGUCUAUAAACAAACACCAACAUGCUACCUUAUUUAAUGGCCAGCCCAUGUCAAUCCAGCCACUGCAACCUCACACAGCUGUAAACCUGUGACUGUGCAUGUUUGUUUACGCGUAAGAACACAACUCGAUUAAUCUAGUUUGAUAAAGUCAUUAAUACGAUGGUUGAAAACUUAGAAUUCAAAACUUAAUGAAUAUACUUCAAUUUCUAUUUAAUCUGUUUUACGCGUAAGAACACAACUCAAUUAAUCUAGUCAUUAUCAAGAUGGUUGAAGACUUAAAAUUCGAAUCUUAAUGAAUAUACUUUAAUUUUUAUUUAAUCUGUUUGUUUACGCGUAAGAACAUAACUCGAUUAAUCUAGUCAUUAUCAAGAUGGUUGAAGACUUAGAAUUCGAAUCUUAAUGAAUAUACUUCAAUUUCUAUUUAAUCUGUUUUACGCGUAAGAACACAACUCGAUUAAUCUAGUCAUUAUCAAGAUGAUUGAAGUCUUAAAAUUCGAGUCUUAAUAAAUAUACUUCAAUUUUUAUUUAAUCUGCUUGUUUACGCGUAAGAACAUAACUCGAUUAAUCUAGUUAACAACGGUCAUUAUCAAGAUGGUUGAAGACUUAGAAUUCGAAUCUUAAUGAAUAUACUUGAAUUUCUAUUUGAUCUGUUUGUUUACGCGUAAAAACACAACUCAUUAAUCUAGUUGAUAACGGUUAUUAUCAAGAUGGUUUAAGAUUUAGAAUUCGAUUCUCAAUGAAUACACUUCAAUUUUUAUUUUAUCAUAAAAGAUGAAAUAGUGUAAUCUGUUUAUAGAUUGUGCGUAUGUCGGAUUUUUAAGAGCCCAACCGGUUAGAUCAUCGGAACAGCUGUAUUUCGUUUUAUUCAAUGGCAAAUGGGCCAAAUGGGUAUUAUAUUAAUUUUUAUAUUAUAAUGAUUUUCGAUUAAAUAAUUGUCGGUGGCAGUCACGUAGAUCCUUCUGUUUGUUUGGUUAACCGGUUCCGGCCAGUCGACUUCACACACGUGUGGGCAAUUUCAAUUUUUCGAUGUCAACCUAGGACUCGGAGUAACGGUUAAAGUCCAUACCAAAUGGGCUUGAGCCUUCUGACUUAUUUUCCAACUUAGUGUGGGAACUGGGCCACCUGCCAUUUGGGUUUGUGGACCAAUAAUCUCUCAAGACAAUUAAAUUCUUUUUAUUUAACAAAUUGAGGAUCUUAUUUAAAAAAGUCAGUUAGGAAACUGUAAUAAAGUACUGCAUAUCUAGACUAAUGGUGGGUCAGAAUUUAAAAUGAAUUCCGACUCACCAAAAGGCAUAAAAGUUAAUCUGUGUUAAUGAAGUGAUCCAAAAAUCACAUUUAUAGAGAGUCUUAUCUCUUAGGAGAUGAUCUUUCUUUUACAGUAGAAACGACAUGAAUAAUCAUUUACGAGUAGUGGAUCGAAAUACGAUGGCAGAGUUUUCCCUUGGAAGAAAAAAAGAUGCCUGGAGCACACCAGGAUUUUUACACUCCUCAUUGUCUUAGGCCAACUACGUAAGAACGAUGAGACACUAUUCGUUCUAGGAAACAUCGAGUCAGUCCCCAAAAGUUGUUGAAAACCCAAACGAUCAUAAAAUCAAGUGGCUGGAUCAAUGCGGAGGGCGUGAGGUGGGUCGAUGUGAUCACUCCUUUUUUUUGCUUUAAAAUUUAUAUAUUAUCAGAUAGUUCUAACUCAAAAAAAAACUUAUUUAAAAAAAGUCAACAAUAAACUGAUAGAAAAUUAACCAUUGAAUAAUGAUUAGGGUUAGGAUUAGGAUUAGAAGGAAAUAACAUGGAUGAAAAUUCCAAAGAAGACCCCAGUGGUCUAUACAAUAGAAAAAUCUAACAAAUUACACAGAUCCUUCUUAUUCCACUAACUCCGGGCUUUCAGUUGAAUAAUGACAUUAGGGAGUUAAUUAAAUUAAUUAAUUAAGAACAUAGGCACAAAUUCCAACAAAAAAAACAGAUGUGAAUUCUAUUCUGUUAUGUCAAUAUCUAAAAGAGGUUAAUUAAAUCAUAAUGACAGCAGUACAGAGGGAUUUGUGUUAAUUUAAUUACGCGGACCAAUCAAGCAAUUCCACUAUUUCUCCACGGUCACAAAAGUCAUUUAAUUAAUCGAUAAAACCAAAAACGCAUUUCAACAAUUCCAUUCUAAAAAAUUCAAAGAUACCGUUUCAAAAGAAUCAUUUCAUACUGGAAAGCGCCUUCCUCCGAUCACCUCUCGAUCUCUGUCGCCUAGGGUUUUUGUCGUUACUUCUUCAAUUCACCAAUCUUCAUAGCCUCCGGGAAGGAGAUCAGGGAUGAUGAGGAAAGGGAAGAUGGAAUCAGUUGCGUCAUCAUCCAUCAUAAAGCGGCGUUCGAUACAAGCAAUUGCUGUUUUUUCCGUUUUCUACAUCUUCGUUUUGUAUAACAUGCCUUUCAACUUCAUUUACGAUGAUAUCGCGGCGUCUCAAUCCUUCCCUUCCUCGUCUUUUCCGGCGAGAAAACUUGUAGGUGACGUCAUCACUCGAACUCUACCACUAGAAGAACAAGUUGAUUUCGCCAUCUCCGCCCCUGCACGACCUCGGACUCUUCACGCCAAGGUUCCUGUUGCCUCUGCUCCGGCAUCUUCGUCUACGCCUUCGUCAUCGUCGAAUCGUCGGGCGUUGCAAGUAUCGGGGCUUGUGUUUCAAUAUACGAAUGCGACGGGGCCUACCUCGGAACUUGAUAAGGUUGUACGGAACGCGUGGGAAACUGGGAUUAAAGUUUUCACCGAGUUGAAGUUUGGGAAGUUUGACGAGGAUGAGAAUGACAGGAAUCAGACGAUGGAAAAGUGCCCACACUCGAUGGUGAUGUCGGAGUUGGAGUUUAUUCGGAACGGGAGUGUUUUAGAAUUGCCAUGUGGAUUGACUUUGGGAUCGCAUAUCACGCUAAUGGCCAAGCCAAAUAAGGCGCAUCCAGAGAUCACUCCCAAAAUAGCAAUACCCAAGGAAGGAAACCAAGCGACUAUCGUAAGUCAGUUUAUGAUCGAAUUGCAAGGGCUUAAGACCGUUGACGGGGAGGAUCCUCCCAGAAUUCUGCAUUUUAAUCCCAGAUUGAAGGGAGAUUGGAGUGGAAAGCCCAUGAUUGAGCUCAACACAUGCUAUCGGAUGCAAUGGGGGAUCGCACAUAGGUGUGAUGGAUGGAAAUCCAGAGCUGAUGAAGAGACAGGUAAAGACAGAAUUUUUGUUCGUUUGUAUGUAUAUUCUUUAAUUUCAAUGGAUAAUGAAUGAAAGAUUCUGUUUGUGGUAUCUUAAAUUUGUAUCUUAAAUCUACUGCAGUCGAUGGGCUUGUGAAAUGCGAGAAAUGGAUUCGUGAUGAUGAUGAUCAUUCUGAGGAGUCAAAGACGAAAUGGUGGUUGAACCGUAUCAUUAGUGGGAAAAAGAUGGUUCAAAUUGAAUGGCCUUACCCUUUUGUUGAGGAGAAAAUAUUUGUUCUUACUCUAAGUGCUGGAUUAGAAGGCUACCAUGUUAAUGUCGAUGGAAGGCAUAUCGCCUCCUUCCCUUAUCGCACGGUUAGUGUGCUCUUAUUUUAUCUAUUACGGUUUAUACCAAUUUGUUAACCAUUAAAAACACAACAGGGAUUUGUUCUUGAGGAUGCAACUGGGCUAUCAGUGAGUGGUGAUAUUCAAGUACAAUCAGUUUUUUCUGGAUCGUUGCCAACAACACAUCCUACUUUUUCACCUCUAAAACAUCUAGAAAUUUCAAGCCAGUGGCAAGCACCCCCACUUCCUCCUGAUGGAGCUGUCGAACUAUUUAUCGGCAUUCUUUCAGCUGGAAAUCAUUUUGCAGAGAGAAUGGCUGUCAGGAAGUCAUGGAUGCAGUCAAUAGCAAAGUCACCUAAUAUGGUGGCCAGAUUUUUUGUUGCAAUGGUAAGUAUGUGGUCACAGUAACUUUUUUGGUGCUACAUAUUGGAUUCAUGUCAUGUAAAUUUAAUUAAUAAACUAUCAUGGUAACUCAAUUCAACUCAGCAUGGAAGAAAGAAAGUCAACGUAGAUCUAAAGAGGGAAGCUGAGUUCUUUGGGGACAUUAUCAUAGUGCCCUUUAUGGAUAGCUAUGAUCUUGUUGUUCUGAAGACUGUUGCCAUCUGUGAAUAUGGAGUAAGUAUUACAGUGUAAUACCUCAUGACUUAUUCUCUUAUAAUUAAACAUGAUUAUUGUUAAUUUAUACUUAUGUGUUGAUGUUCAUGGACAUAGGCAAGGGUCUUAUCAGCCAAACACAUCAUGAAGUGUGACGAUGACACAUUUGUUAAAAUAGAUUCAGUAAUGAUGGAAGUGAAGAAAGUGGCCAUUGGGAACAGUUUAUAUCUAGGAAAUAUAAAUUUUCACCACAAACCGCUGCGCAAUGGAAAAUGGAGUGUUACAUAUGAGGUAAAUAACGCCCUGCGCGGUCUCUGUUUUUUAAAAGGCUGUCAUAAUUGGGUAAUUCAGAUAUUUUGGGUGUUUUUUAACAGGAAUGGCCUGAGGAAGACUAUCCAUCUUAUGCAAAUGGCCCUGGCUAUGUUAUAUCCUCGGACAUUGCGCACUUUAUUAUAUCAGAUUUUGAAAAACAUACAUUACGGGUAAUACUGCCAUGCUGUUCAAAUAGAAUACCAGUCUAUUAGCAAUUGCAAAUUAAAUAGAAUGGAGAAAAUGAGAAAACUGCUUAUAUUUUUUGCUGGAUGCAGCUAUUUAAAAUGGAAGAUGUGAGCAUGGGAAUGUGGAUUGAACAGUUCAAUAAUACGAGACCAGUGCAAUAUAUCCAUGACCUGAGAUUCUGCCAGUUUGGUUGCUUUGACGGCUACUUCACAGCACACUAUCAAUCUCCUCGUCAGAUGAUGUGUAUGUGGGACAAAUUGAAGCAAGGAAAGACUGAAUGCUGCAACUUCUGAAGAUAUAAUUUCAGGGUAUUUUCUUCAGUUUCGUAGGCAGCCAACACAUGAGUGAGUGUGUAACACAUCACUCAUGUCUUUUUUCUUCUUCCAUUCAUUCUCUCUUAUAGUCAGUCUUAUAUUAUAAGUUUGGGUCUGCUAAUUAUUUAUUGUACAUAGUUAGUAUUCAUAUGAGAAAUAGAGUAAUGAGAAAGGGUCAGUAUGAUAGGGGGUGGUUUGAAGGUGUUUUCUUCUUAGAAAACUGGACUCUUACAAAAGCCUAUUGUCCUAUCAUUAGAAUUUUGAAAAAUCUGGAAAUUUUAUUUGUAUUUAUUUUGAAGAAAAUUGUUCAUGAAAUACAAACAAAAUAUAUUACAUUAUACAUCAUACAAAAAAUUCUUAUAAAUCUCUCAUUACCUCUGAUUAUACGAGUCAGGAUCAAGGAUUAGGUGUGAUAAUGUGAUUUCUUAAAUAAACCUCUUCAUUUCCUCAACAUAUAAAAAUAGAAUGCUGUAUAAAAAUAAGCAUUAUAAAAUCUCAGACUAUCUUAACUCUGUUCAAUAACUUGUGAUUGUAUUCAACAAAAAAAAUUGAAGAUACAAGUAAUGAUUGUAUUUGUUACGAAUGACUAUAACUGGAAAGAAAAAGAUCCUAAGAAGAAAUAAAUAUGUUCAUUCUGAGUAGAAUUUGCACAAGUUCCGUUCUUGAUAAAAAUUAGUUUUUGUACAAAAUGAUAGAUAAACUAGGAAAGCUACACAUGUAACAUGUUAGUCUUACUACUUGCAUUGCCGUGGUUUGAAUUUUUCGACAGAUAAAAGAGUAUCUAUUAGUCGCCUAAGCCUGAUUGCACCUGGACCUGGCUUCAGGGCAGUUGUGUUGCCCAUAAUUGAACAGGGAUCGGUCCCAUUUUCACCUGAUCCAAGACACCAACCACCAGGGACGGGCAUACCUGGUUGUCGAAACAAGAGCUCUGUGUCUAUCUUAUCAAGAACUGGAUUGUUUUUGGGGAACUUUCUAGCAAAUGGUGCAUUACUAUUAAUCAUUUUUGACAUGUCUCCGACGUUGAGAUGGAGAGGAUGCUGCUUAGGUGGGUUAUCCCAUGAUAUGAAGUGGAGGUCGUUAUUCACAGUGGUCUUCUUGAAAUCCUCUGCAUUGCAGAUAACAGUGUGAAAGUAUCCUUCAGGUGAAGAGAGAAAGUUUGCAUAGUACAUGAGGACAUGUCGAGGAAGAUUAUCCCAUCCCCAUAUGCAGUAGUCAACAAAGGAUCGCGACAACACCAUCCAAGCAGAUCCUGAAAUUAGUUGAAACUUGAAAUUCAGUAAAUUCUAAACAUGUGACUAUGACGUGAUUUAAUAUUACUUUGUAACUAUUACAGUGUGUGUCCAUCCACACCUUAUUGUUUGGUGAAUUAUUAUUCUAAACCCUAGGUGUACUUAUAUUUACUUCUACUCUUAUAUCCUGAUAUUUUGAUCAUGAAAAUAACUUUGCGCGAAGAGCUCAAUUCAUAGCCAUAUUAUGUAGAAAUGAGCUCCUGGAAAAAAGUCCUGCUGGAGGAAAUGAACUCAUGGAGAACUACUUUGCGCGACAAGUAUUUCAUUUUUUUUGUAAAUUCAAUUACUACGUCUACUAAUUUGGUGCAUACUUAAUCUAUAUUAAUCACAGUAUGUAAGGGUGCGAGUUUUGGCUUGGACCUCGGGUUAUAUUCGUUAGGCUCGAGCUCAUGAAAUUAUAAGGCUGAGCUUAAGCCUGGAGUCCAAACUUGGAUACGUCGAGGUCGAGACUCCAUUCAGCUCGAUGACAAUAUUAUAUAUUGUUUUAUCGUGAAAUGUACAUAAAAAGGUUUUUAUCGUGAAAUAGAGUCAUUUUAAAAUUAAAAUAAAAGUUAUGGAACCUGCAGCCUGCAGGUAUUGCAAAUUUUAUAUCUACAAAUAAUUUUUGAGGUUAUAGAACUUGCGAGGCCGAGCUCGAGGCUCUACAAGCCAAAGCUCGGCUUGUUUGAACUUAUCAAGCUUCAAGAUGAGCCUGAAUUUCGUGAGAUAGGCUUCAAGCUGACCUCGAGUCUGGUCAAACUGACCUUUGGGCUUUGAUAUAGACAUUUUGCAGAUAAAUUAUUUGCAUGAUUUUUUUUGUAUACAAAAUUAAAGUAUCAAACCAAGAAGAUAACUAGGUAAGAUAAGAAGCAAGAGAAAUCAUGUAAAAUUGACGGAGACAGUAAAAAUAAAAGUCAAAAACAUCCAUUACCAGUAAAAAGUUUAAACGCAGUUGGAAUGCUUCUUCUCUGACGAAUCCAGAACACAUCACUUUUUCUAGAUUGGUACAACCCAGGAUCAAUAAUAACAGGCAUUGCUCUCUGAGAUCUACACAAAAUACAACAUCAUUACAUCAACAAUACGCUUCGGGAUUUUCAUGUAUCCGGAACAAAAAUGAAGAUUUGUUCAACAUACGCUUUCCAUCCAAUAUUACUGGUAUGAUCAAUGAAGUUAAGAUCCCUUGGAAGACCCGAAAAAACAUGAAGCAAAUCUUAAAAAAAAAAACCACGGAUCAAUCAUUCAGAAAUCAACCUAAAAAAAGACAAAAAAAAUCUCACCAUCUUGCGUGACGAGAGGGUAAUCCGAUGCGCUAAGGUUAAUAAACCAAUCCCACUGUCCACAUUCCCUUAACAGGAUCGCAGCAGCGUGAAGCGUAUUGGAGACCAUCGUCGGGCCACGGUAUGUGACCAAAUUGGCAUUCUUAACUACCUUAACAUUCCCAAUCUCCCUAAACAUGUGAUUCCCUUCAACAAAGUCUAUAAGGUCACGCCUCUCUUCCAGAGGUGCCUCGAGAUCGAGAUGCAAUACAUACCAAUUCCGAGGAUGAUACAGUGCCAUUAACGUCCUCUUUAUCAUCUCCCCAUCUCUAGCCGAUCCAGACACCAAGUAGGCAAAUCUGGGAGGAUUUCCAUCCUGAUUGGGCGAUCCUUGUUGGCGGAUCUUGGAUUCGACGAAAACGGGGGAUUUGCGGAGGAAAGGGAUGAGAAACGCGGUCGGAACAACGGUGGUGGAGAAGAAGAGAAGCAAAAGUGUGAGGAUCGAGAUGGAAGCAAAUGGUACGAUCCAUUUGGCGUGGAUGGUGAGAGCAGGAACAAUUCGUUUCAUGGAGGAAGAAGAAAUGAGAGAUUUGGAGUCGUGGCUGGUUGGUCGGUCGAUUCGAUCUCACGAUCUGGUACUGAUGAGAGAGAGCAGUAGAUACUGUGGCGGGAUUUUAUUUAAAUAGAGAAAAUUCAUGUAUUUAAAUAUUAUUCUUUAUCAAAAUAAUUUUAUAGAAAAAUAACAAAACAACCCAAUAUUUUCCUUCACAUUGAAAAAAACUACCAAGAAGAGCCACAAAUAAAAUUUUAUACGAUCCGUUUAUUCCGUUAAUUGAAAUAUCAACGCAAUUAUGAAUUAACGAACCUAUUGGAUCCUAAUAUUAAAUGGAAUGUAUAAUUAUAUAUUUUUCAAAUUAUAAUAGUCAUUAGGUAAAUAGAAUAUUUAAGCAUGGUCAAAUGGUCAUUUAGUUCAAUCAUUAAUUACGAUGAUAACACAAAUCAUCUUGUGUUUACUUGAAAGAUUUUUUUUAUAUAAAUAAAUAAAAAUUAAAAUAAAUAUACUGAGAUUUGAAUCUGAUACAGUGAGUAAACCCCAAUGAUUUUUAUUUUUAUUUUAGAAAUUUAUAGAUUUGAUUUAUAAAAAAUGAAAAAUAAAAUCCAAUUGAUUAAUUAAAUAAGGUAAAUAAUAAUUUAAAUCAACCAAUAUGUGCAGGUUCACCACACCUAUGUGUGUCUGAUCUGUCCAACGAGAUUCGGACCAGGAGAUAAAACGUCUAUUUAUAGUUUUUAUAAGGGUUUCAGUUUCUCCUCUCUCUUUCUCUAUUAUUAUCUAUCGAUCAUCUUCGAUUCUUCACUCUUUCCGACUGUGUCCAUAUACGUCGAUGAACAAGCAAGACUCCGGCGAUGAAAGUGAUGAUGAUGUUCGAAAUGGGGAUUAUUACAACUUACCCGAUGAAUUUCCGUAUGACGAUUAUUUUUACGAGAAAUCCACUAUGAUGAGCCCUAAGAAAUUUGAAACUCCGGUAUGAUCAGAUCGACUUGUUUUUUUCUUCGAUCUGUUCUAUUUUUUAUAUUUUUUGUGAUGGAUGAUGAAUGGAUGGUUGAUCUCUACAGAAAACAAAUAUGAUGGAAGGAAUGAAGCCGAAGCCAUUUCUGAGGAGUAAUACUACUUAUGGCACCGGUGUUUACUUACCGCCAAUUCCAAUCUUGAAAGAACAGCGCAAAAUACCACCACCACCAUCACCACAACCAUCAUAUCGUCCACCUUAUUCUAAUGUUUUCUUUCCCAAUGUUUCACCUAGGGUUUUUCUCCCGGAGAAGAUGAUCAGCGGUGCACCAAAAUAUAUGAAGCACAAGAAAAUUAAGCAGGAAUGGAGGAUUCGCAGUAAGCCCAUGCCCAAAGAAGAGUGAUUAAACAGUGGUGUUAUUCAGUUUCUCAUCUUCGAUCUAAAUGGGACCUGCUGAUAGAAUAAGUUGUUAAUCGAACAACAUAUGCUCAAAUUGCUGCUUUCAAUCUGGAUUAAUUUCUGUAUUGGAUAUUGCAAUAAAAUUUUUAAUAAUAUAUCAUUUCAUAUCAUAACUUAGAUUCAUCGAUCAUAUCUAUCAUCUGAUAACCAAGUAGCUUUUUCUACCUUCAAAUCUUGCAUGCAUGAAUCAUAAUCAUAUCCUAGCCUUCCUCUUCCCAUCUUCUUCACUCUAUUUUCCACCAAUAUUUCCACAUUUUUCUCCUCUAGCCUAUUGAGGAUUUGAGGCAAUUAGUUAAUCAAUGAAUAAAUAAACACACAUUGUGAUUUAACAUUUUGAGAAUCAUAAUAUGGUAUCAGAGCAUGAAUAGAUUUUUUUUUCUGUUUUGAUUUGGCAUCUUCUUCUUGCGAUAUUAAUUUGCAAAAUGAUAGGAACUCUAGCUUCCUCUUCUACACUAGUCGCCCGCUGAGGAUCAAAUUUAAACAUCUAAGUACCAGGUUAAUUGACAUAUAUAGUCAAUUAUACGUACUUGUGGAAAGUGCAUAUCAUGACUCACUUAAGAUCGAGGUUAUGAUCUCUUAUUCUUAAUUUCCUACACAGAGAUCGAAGUCGAUCAAACACAGAUCGAUGAUCCAACUCACUACAGGAUUCUAAGGUUUAAUUUCAACGACGUCACUACAGGAUUCUACAGGAUCAAAAUCCGUCGUUAAUUAUCAAGGGUGGCGACGGUUUAUGGGAGAGUCGUAGCUAACCUUGGAAAAAAUACAAAAAUCAGGGGGGCUUUUAUAAGUCAUCAUAAAAGGUUAUUUUCUUGUAGUGACUGUUGUACAAGUUAAUGUUUUCGUCCAUUAUUGUCUCAGUUCUACUACAGAUGACUGAACCCUAGCUAGCACUACCUUAGCAUGGAAUUGACAAUGGCUUUGACAGACAUCAAAGCUACAUAACUCCGGCUCCGUGUGUCUUUGAUCGACUCUCACAACAGAGGGAACCGGGGAUUCGGAAGAUAUGAUAUAGGUACCCAGUCUUGUAGUACAACUCGUUAAUGGUAAAGCUUGCACCGCCAGGAUUCAGAUUACCAAAGCUGCCAGAGUAUGAUGGGAAGCUAGACCCCAUAGACCAUAUAUGUCAAUAUGUUCAAAGGGGCAAUGCAAUGGGGAUGCCAUGCCAUUUUCUCUAGAUAUUUCAAAUAUAUAUACAGAUAUUAGAUAUACUCAUGAUUAAUUUCAUCCAAGGUUUUGUUUGUUCAUAAAACUAAAAUACCAAAAGUUGACGAUUUUUAUUUUAUUCUUCGUUAAAACUAAUCAAGAAUCGUCGUAAUAAUUUUAUCCUACCAAAAAAUGACAAAAUACUACAAUUAUCGACAAAAAUUCCUUAUUUUUCUUGAUCCCUAAUUAAAAAAAUAUCGAUUUUCUAGAUAAACACGUACUAAUUAAGAUGAUUAGAUCGAUGAACAUCUAUUUUCUGCUAAAUUUUGUUGAUUAAUAUUUGUUCAUAUUUCAAGCGAUUUAUAUCCUAGAUUAACAAUUAUAAUUUUGUAUUCUGAUUAAAUAAAUCACACAAAUUAAAUCUCUAGCUACUAAUCUCGAUCUAGAACAUAAUAAGGUAUUAUAUAUUGGGAAGAAUAUAUAUAGAUCAAACUUAUAAUUAGUGAAUGGAUCGAUAUCGAAGAACAUGUGAGGAUCUAGGAGGAAGGUAGAUGUGGAAGAAAUGGAAGAAGUGCAAACAUUACCUAACAUAAAGAGCCACUACAAGAAAACAGUAAUGAUCAAUCAGCUAGCGGAUCGAUCGAGCAGUAAGCACAUGAGGAGAGAUCCCACGCGCGCGACUUAACUCCGAGAACGAGGAAGACACGAAGGAUCGAGUUGACGAGUGCGGCGGAGAAAACAAACCCUAAUCGAUCGAUCUUGGCACCUCGAUCUAUAUUUCAAGUACUUAUAUACAGUCGUGAACUAGUCGAGUAAAGGAUCCGUUAAAUUUUGACCCGGCUUACCGUCUUAUCGACUACGAUUGAAAGGGUUAAUUGAUCAUUAGGCAUACUAGUGACACUAUUAAUUAUACCAUAUAUGUUCACAAAAUUUUAAUUACCCAAAAAAUUUCUAUAUUUUUCCUUUUAUUUUUAUCAAAACUACCAUUUUUUUGUUUCUUUUAUUCCAACAAACACUACAAAAAAAAUAAACAGUUUGGACAGGUAAAAUUAACGGAUUUCCAUUAACUUUAAAGUGAUAAUCCACCUAAUUUCAAAAUAUAACAUGAUCAAUAUUCAUCAUCUUUCUCUCCUCCACUCCAAAAUAAAACCAUCUCACGCCACUGACAGAGAAGCAGGCAAGUCGAUUUAAACCGCAUCCCUUUUUUUCUUCUCCAAAAAUCCAUCUUUCAUUCCCGACGACCCCCAAUAUAUAUAUCGUCGUUUAUUUUCACUCCUUAAACCCCUUCUUUCAUUCCCGAUCGACAACGUCUACUUUGUUGAACAUUAGUUUGUCAAAGCAUGUUUAAUCUGUACAUUAUAAACCUUGAUCAUGACAAUUAAGCUCAAAUAUAUAAGAUGAUAAUAUAAUUAAGAUUAUGUACCCGGCCUAUAUUAUGAGGCUAAUCAAGGGUAAAUAAUUAAUAUAUGCAUCAUAAACCUGGCUUAAAGUGUGAAACAUAUGCAUCAUAUAUAAUUUCAAUUAUUCCUUAAUCACUCUUAAUUAAGCUAAAUCGCAAAUAUUAACAUUAUGCUAAUUAAAUACAUCAUAUCUAGAAUUAAUGAUUGAAGAUUUUUUUUUU